rnacentral:lncRNA from 1 species
GGUGCUUUGUGUUUUAAUAUAAAUAAAGAGUCCCAAAAAUCUAACAAGAGGGGAUACUCAUUUUACACCAUCAGAUUUUGAGAGAGGGGUGUAACCCUAAUUUUGUUCUUCUCUCGUUCUCUCUUUUACAGACACCAGCCGCCCCCUCCCAAGCUCUCAUCUCUCUCAUUUCUCCAAUAAUGGUUGCCGCCCAGCCCCUCUAUAUUCCCUCUCUCUAAAAGUUUGAUGCCGCCGCCGCUUUCCGGCGAGCUUGGCUGGCCGGCAAACAACUAGUGCAAACCCCAUCGCCGACCCUACUAUUCAUGUCACCUCCUCUCUCCGUCUCUGUCUCUUCAUGCGUAUAACACACAGAUCUAGAGAAAAUAUACUCGUCGGAGGAAUGAAACUCCACUGAAAGUGGCGGAUCUGGUGUUUGGCCGGAGUCUUAGCCGGAAAAUUGGGUCUGGCAGCCUAUACACGUCCCGGUAGUUGCUCACUGCCUCUUUGACGAAGAUUCAUCUCAUCCGUUGCGUCAACACUAGUGACUUAGCUAUUGUUAUUCAUCGUCGAGUACUUUUGACAUUCUACGGGUGGUUCAGGUAUCAAUACUUUGUUGUGUUACUUUAAUGCAUAUUCAUUUCAUUAGGUGUCAUUCUAAUGCCUUUGUUGUCAGAACUUUUUCAGUUAUGUUAAGCUUGAAUUGACCAUUUAGUUCGCUUGGUCAUUACUAACCUAAAUGCUUGAUUUUGUCUCUAUUCAUUUGGUUAUUCCAUCAAUAAGCAACAUUAAUUACGUAAGAAGAGUUUGCUGGAAAUCUAUUAUUGGCCAUCCAUGUUGGACACUAUCAUGGCUUUUUCUUAGAUUAUUGUUGUUUUCACAUUGCUGUGUGAUUUCAAUGUUAUUGAGCAGAUGCUACAUUGAUUAUGCUUUGGCCGAUGAGAAAAUAACCCCGAGUUAUUGAGGCCACGACCCUUGGAAUAACCCUCGGACCGGGUCCGAAAUAACGAGGUGAUGAUGAUAAAUAUCAGAAAAAGAAAAAAAACGAGAACACAAACCAACAACCUAUAGUUGGCGAUACGGUUGGCCACCGGAGUUUCUACCGAGGCGGUUCCCGUUUUCAUGUCUUGGUGUAUAUCGGAUAUUACAUGUAUCUGAUCCUCCUAUAUUAUCUUUUAAACUAUUUUCCAAAACUAUUUUCAAAAACAAUUUCUCACAAAACAUUUUUUCAAAUAAAAGCAUUUCAGAAAAUAAAUUAGUCUAUUAUUUACCUAAUAUUUUACUAAUAAUUUUACUUCUCUUGUCUUGCGAGGUACUAUCAUACGGAGUUACUCUCGGAAGAUGACACUCGAAGAUGAAAAGACAAAUCCCAUCAAAGUUUCCCGCUUCGUACUUCUCGUUCUCGGAUGUAUUAAAAAAUACAAGUAUUGUAAUGACCCGACCGAUCGUUCUGAGAAUUAAUGUCCCGAUCGGCGGCAUAAGGUCCUGAGCAGCUUCGUAUUAUGUAUAUUGUCUUGCGUGCGUGGUUGAAUUCAGUUACAGGAUGAUUCAGAGUGAAUUAGAACACUUAGUCCCUAAAAGUGGAAUCUUAAGUCUUAGGAUUUUGACAAUAAUUGGAACUGUGUGAAGACAACUCCGGAAUGGAGUUUCACCGGCUCUGUUAUCUCCGUUGGGAGAUUUUAGACUUAGGUGUGUGUCCGGAUUGUGUUUUGGAGGUCUGUAGCUCAUUUAGGCUUGAAAAGGCGAAAGUCGAAUUUUUGGAGAUUUUGACCGGUAGUGGACUUUUUGAUAUCGGGGUCGGAAUCCGAUUUCAGAAGUUGGNNNNNNNNNNNNNNNNNNAGAAAUUUUAAAGUUUCAAUUUCAUUAAGUUUGAAUCGGAGGGUGAUUCGGGUUUUUAGCGUUGUUUGAUAUGAUUUGAGGGCUCAACUAAGUUCAUAUGGUGUUUUAGGACUUGUUGGUAUGUUUGUUUGAAGUCCCGAGGGCCUCGGGUGAGUUUCAGAUGCUUAACAGAUCCAAAUUUGGACUUGUGUAGUUGUUGAAGCUUUCAAGCUUCUGGUGUAAUCGCACCUGCGGUGGGGUGGCCGCAGGUGCGGACUCUCACGUGCUGAAGGGAUCUUGCAGAUGCGGCCCUGGUCUGGUUAACCGGUGGUCACAAGUGCGACAAAAGAUGCGCAGAAGCGGAGCCGCUCCUGCGGAGAAGGGAUCGUAGAAGCGGAAAGCGAGCUGAGUGAGGAUUCCGUAGAAGCGGACAAAAAUUCGCAGGCGCGCACUCGUAGGUGCGACCUUAUGCUCGCAUAAGUGGACCACAGGACGUAAGUCAUUUCCGCACCUGCGAUGGAAUUUCCGCAGGUGCGACUAGAAGCCUGCAGAAGCAAAAAUCGCUGGGCAGAAAAGGGCUAAGUGCGAUGGUUGAUUUCAUUCUCCAAUUUUGGACCUAGAGAGCUCGGAUUGAGGCAAAAUUUCGAGGGAUUUUCAGACGAAGCUUGUGGGUAACGAUUCUUAACUCUUUUAUGGGUAUAUCUCAUUAAUCUAUAGUUGAAUUCAUCAUUUAAUUAAGGAAUUUGGUUGAGCAAUUUGGGAAAAGAGAUGGAAAGUUCUUCAAAUAAAUUUUUGAGUUUUGAUUCGGAUUUUGAUAUCGGAUUUGGAUAAUUUUGGUACGAGUGAACUCAUGGUUGAUUGUGUAUUAGUAUUUUGUGAUUUUUAUCCGUUUCCAAGACAUGGGCCCGAGUCGACCUUUUGGGCCGAAUUUUCGAUUCUUUACUAAAGUCGUAGAUUUAUUAUUUAAAUUAGUUUCUCGUAAUUUUAUUCAUGAUAUGUAAUUGUGUUUGGCUAGAUUUGGGCCAUUCAGAGUCGGAUAAUCGAGGAAAGGGCAUUCUUACUGAUUGAUUGAGCUUGGUUCGAGGUAAGUAUCUUGCCUAACUUCAUGUGGGGAACUACCCCUUAGGAUUUGAGUCUUCUAUGCUAAUUGUAGUCUGUGUACGCGAGGUGACAAGAACAUGAUCAAACUUAUUUAUGGAAAGUUGGCCUUUUAGGGUUCUUAGGUCCUUGUAUUCACUGAUUAUGCAGUUGUUAUGUUAUGAAUACGUCUCUUAAUUACUAGUUUUACCUCUACCUGCUUUAAUUAGAAUUAAUUGCUUCAUGAUUCGCCCUUGAUGCAUAUUUGACUCAUCUGUGCCUUAACUGAAAUUGUUAUCUCUUCUAUUGCCAUGCUAUCUUUCCCCUAACUGCUUAUCUUUAUUUGAAGUUAUAAUUAUCUCUUUUGUAAUUGUUCAUCCUUAAUUGAGGCUAUGAUUAUCUUUCUGCUGCUUAUCCCUAAUUGAAUUUGUUGUAUCUCUUUCUUAAUUUGCCAACCUUAAAACGAAGUUAGAUAUCUUAUAUUUUAGUUGACUUGUCCUUAUUUAGAAUUAUUCGCCUUGUGUUAGCUCCCUCGUUAUUGAAUUGUACAUUGUGUACCGUUGUUGCAUAAUAUGUCCUUUCUUGUUUAGCUGUUCUUAUUAUGACUACCAUUCUCCAUUUUGGCCCCUCCUUGUGAAUUAAUUCCUCUGUUCCUUUGAGUUCUAGAAUUUCUGAGUUGAUUUAUUUGCCGUACUCUUGUAUUAGUGUUAUUGUUGAUGUUGUACUUGUUGUUUUUGCAUAUUUACUUUGGGACUACGAGGCGGUACCUCGGAAGAUCCUCCUUUCUUACAUAUUUACUUUGGGACUACGAGGCGGUACCUCGGGAGAUCCCCCUGUCUUGCAUAUUUACUUUUGGGACUACGAGGCGGUACCUCAGGAGAUCCCCUGUUGAGCAUUUACUUUUGGGACUACGAGACGAUAUCUCGGGAGUGCCUUUUGUUGACAUCUCUUUGUUAUGGGGUUGCACGAGGUUUCUGCAGUGCUAUUAUUAUUAUUGAUAUUUGCACAUGCGGCGUGACAAGGUGGGAUACAUAUAUGUGAGUUGCACAUGUGGCGAGACAAGGUGGGAACAUUAUUAUGCACGUGUGGCGAGAUAAGGCGGGCAUUUACUUUACCAUUGCACACGUGGCGAGACAAUGUGGGCUAUGUCAAGGAUUGAUUUGUGAUGGCAUGGAGGAAUUCUUGUUGUUGAUAUUUGUGUAGUGGUACACUUAUCUGUGUGAGCUUUAUCUUGUGAAAGUUGUGAGAAAAUAUUCUACGUGAUGUCCGUCCUAUUCCUUAUGCUCACUAGAUGGUAUGAACUAUGUUAGGACAUUUGCACAAACAUGCACGUAGUUAAGCACUCUUAUCGGAUAAGAGGUUUCCUUGAUAUUGUUGAGUAUAGAUGCAUACCGUUGCUUACUUGCCUUCUAUGUGAUAAUGGCACUAUUUGGCACGCGAGUCGUCAGUGCGGUUAUGUGGUGUAAUGAGGGCACAUGAUGCCAAGUGUUAGGGUUUAGGUAUUGAGGCACGUGAGUUGUAAUUUGUCCGAGGUUCAGUACCUCGUGGAGUUUAUUGACAAAAACCCAGUGUGGAAGCUGUCGUAUUGUUGAGUUGCUACUUGUCCUUUCUUUAUCUGUGAUUAUCGGACUUAGGCUGUGUUUCCGUUCAUUCUUCUAUGUCAUUAUUAUGGUGUUCCGCUGAUAGUGUUUUUUUUCCUUCCUUAUUGCAAUUACCGUAUUAAUUGCCACUUCGCGUAGUCUUUAUGUAGAUAUCAUACUCUGUUGUUUCUAUACUUAUACUUGUUCAGGUUAUUUAGUCCAGUAGGUGUCUUGACUGUACCUCGUCACUACUCCACUGAGGUUAGUCUUUAUACUUACUGGGAACCGCCGUGGUGUACUCGUACUAUACUUCCGCACAUUUUUGUGCAGAUCCAGGCAUUUUCAAAGUCAGUUGAUCAUUAGCUAGUUGUGCGGAUUGUUGCUGUGAAGACUCAAGAUAAACCUGAUGCUGCGUUCGCAGGCUUCGGAGUCACCUUAUGAUUUGUAUUCACACUGUUUACUUUAUUUAAAACAUUUGUAUUUAGAAAAUUGUAACAAACUCUGUAGAGCUUAUGACUUGUACUACCGGUUUUGGAAAUUAUAAAUUUUAUAGAGAUUUCUAUUUCAAAAGUUGUUAGAUGUUAUUUAUUAUUGUUGUUAUUCAGUAAAUGUUAGGCUUACCUAGCCCCUAAGACUUGGUGCCAUCACGAUAUCCAACGAAGGGAAAAUUGGGUCGUGGCAAGUAUAGUAAAAAUUGUAGAUAGAUAUCAUAUCUAAUUACUUAGUUAUGCUUGAUUGAUAUUACCCGCUUCGUACUUUUCGAUCCCGAAUGUACUAAAUAAUACAAGUAUAGUAAAAAUUGUAGAUAGAUGUCAUAUCUAAUUACUUAGUUAUGCUUUCUUGAUAUUUGUUUACGUGUGACAACACUUAGGAAAUUACAUCUAGUUAAUAAUCAAGGUAACUUGCUGUCGCGGCCCCAAAUCUCCUUCGUAGGAUGUCAUGACAGUACCUAGUCUCUAAGACUAUGUAAGCCUAACAAUAUGCGAAAAUAUCGAAUAAAAACAUAAAAUUUCAAAACUUCAACAAUUUUACCAAUAGAUUAUAAGCUCAAUACGUACAAUGUUCUAAAACCCGGUGAGAUAUAAGUCACAAGCUCUAGAUACAAUGCUUAACAAUCCUAUACAUCACUGUCUACAAAAAUAUAAAGGAACAAGAAAAGAAUAGGAUAGAAGGGGACUCCGAGGCUUGCGGACGCGGGCAACUGUACCUUGAAGUCUCCAGAGCAGCAAAACAGCGCGCUAAUAUCGAGGUUGAUAGGAUAUAUCUGGAUCUGCACAAAAUUAUGUGCAGAAGCGUAGUAUGAGAACACCACAACGGUACCCAUUAAGUGCCAAACCUAACCUCGGUAGAGUAGUAUCGAGGUGAGGUCAAGGCCCUACUGCUGAAAAUAAGAACAAGGUAGGAGAUAUAAUGAUAUAAUGAAAAUGACAGGGAAGUGAACAAUGAAGAAUUUACGGGAAAUAACAACACGGAAUCAAGAAAAGCUAAUACAACACGAAAGGAAAAUAAGAAUUUUACAUGUUAGGGAAAACAAGAACUAAACAAUACAGCAUAUAAAGAAUAUCAACAGGGUACUCCCGAGGUAUCGUCUCGUAGUCCCAAAUCAUAAAAACAAAUCACAAUCUUUCCUUAUAUCACCCUGGGAGCCGUUAUAUUUGGUUUUUGAAAAUUAUUUUCCCCAAAUAGCAUUCCGCGUUUUAGCCCACCUUAUCACACCGCAUGGCUUCUAGUAGUUCCCCUACUAGCCAUGCGUAUCAAGCCCACCUUAUCUUACCGCAUGCUUUUCAAUACCCUGACCUUAUACCACCGCACGCUUAUCAAUAAUCACAAACAGCACGACAGAAAACUCAUGCAACAAUAACAACCACAUGACAGAAACCUCGUGCAAACAAUAACAACCGCACGGCAAAAACCUGGUGCAACAAUCAAACCCGCACUUCAACAAUAACACGAAAGCCAAAACACAACAACUAAAUAAAUGAUAUUUCAAGGAUAGCAAUUUAAAGUAAAGAAUUUCCACAGUUAAGAAGUGAAUACGAAAAUCAAGAAAAAUAAGUAAUUCAACUAAACAUGUGAUACAAGUUACAAAUAGGAGAUAAGACAAGUAGACAUGUGAAAUUAGGCUAAACAUGAUGACUGUAACGUGCUAAAAUAACUCAAUUAAGGAAUGAAAAAGAAACUACGUAGAAAAGAUCGGAAUUUCAACAUUUAGCCCGUGUACGCACUCGUCACCUUGCGUACACGGCCUUCUCAUAUCACAAAUAACAAAUCCUAAGAGGAAUUUCCCUCACACAAGGUUAGACAAGUCACUUACCUCAAACCACGCCAAUCAGUCAAUUAGAAGGUCUUCCCCUCGAUUUUCCAACUCCGAACGGCUCGAAUCUAGAAAAAACAAUUUCAUACUAUAAAUAUAACUAUAGGAAACUAAUUUAAAUAAUGAAAUAAUGAUCUUAGCUGAGAAUUGAAAAAUCGCUCCAAAACGUCGACCCGGGCCCAUGUCUCGGAACCCGACCAAAAUUAUAAAAUCCGCACACCCAUCGAUAUCGAGUCCAACAAUACAAGAAUUAUCCAAAUUCGACAUCAUUUAACCCUUCAAAACCCAAAAACUUGGUCUAAGAACUUCUACACUAUUUUCCCAAUUUUCCACCCCAAAUCUCUAAUUACAUGAUGAAAUCAAUGAUAGAUUAGUGGAAUUUAAUCAAAAACGAGUUAAGAAUCCUUACCCCAACACUUCCUCUGAAAAUAUCUCAAAAUAUCGCCUUAAUCCGAGCUCUCAAAGUCCAAAUGUGAAAUAAGAGAAUGAACCCUCGUUUUGAAAUUUAAGUCUACUGCCCAGUUGUUUACACAUCGCGAUCGCGUAAAUCCUCCGCGAUCACGUCCGAUAAUUUUUUGUCCAUCUCAACUUAACCAUUCGCGAUCGCGCAAAGGCACACGCGAACGCAGAUAACAGCAAUGCCACAACAUUGCGUUCACAUCACAAGCUACGCGAUCGCGUAGCACAACUGCCUCAUGCCCCAGCUUUGCCAAUUCUUCUACGCGAACGCGAACUCCUCCACGCGUUCGCGAUUAACUGCAAGCCAAACCUCUGUGAUCGCAUCCUUCUCUCCGAAAACGCGUAGAGAAAUUCAGACCAUUGAAACUCCUUCGCGAUCGCGGUUCAAACCACGUGAUCGUAUAGAAGGAAACCAGAAGCACCAGAUUCAGCAAUCCUAAGUGUUCCGAAAUGCGUCGAACAUUGUUCGAAUUACAUCCGAGGUCCCCGAGACGUCAACCAAACAUACCAACAAGUCCUAAAAUAUCAUACAAACAUGCUCGAAACAUCAAAUCACAUAAAACAACCCUAAAAUCACGAAUCACACCCCAAUUCAAGCUUUAUAAACUUAUAAAAUUUUAACUUCUAAAUCCGAUGCUGAACCCUAUCAAAUCAAGUCCGAUUGACCUUAGAUUUUACACACACUAUUGACAUUAUAGACCUAUUCCAACUUCCGAAAUCGAAAUCCAACCCCGAUAUCAAAAAGUUUACUCCCUGUCAAACUUCCCAAAAUUCCACCAAUUUCCAACUUUUGCCAAUUAACGCCGAAAUGAUCUACGGACCUCCAAAUCAACAUUCGGACAUGAUCAUUAGACCAAGAUCACCCUACGGAGCUAUUGAAACCGUCAAAACUCAAUUCCGGAGUUGUCUUCACACAAGUCUAACUACGCUCAACUCCUACGACUUAAACUUCCAAUUUAGGGACUAUGUGUCCCAUUCCACUCUGAAACUCUCCCGAAUCUGACACCAAGUGUCCCAGCAAGUCACAUAACCACAAAAUGAAAUAAAGGAAGCAAUAAUUAGGGGAUCGAGGCUAAUACUUUCAAAACGACCGAUCGGGUCGUUACAUCCUAUCCCUCAUAAAACAAACAUUCAUCCUCGAACGAGUAUAGAGACAUACCUGAAGAGGUGAAAAGAUGAGCAUAACGGCUACGUAUAUCAUGCUCAGUCUCCCAAGGUCCUUCCUCGACUAGCUGACCCCGCCACUGGACCUUAACUGAAGCAAUAUUCUUCGAGCUCAACUUUCCAACCUGCUUGUCCAAAAUGGCAACCGGCUCCUCAACAUAAGAUAGAUCCGUGUCCAACUGGAGUGAGCUGAAAUCUAACACAUGUGAUGGAUCGAUGUGAUACUUCUGGAGCAUAGAAACAUGGAACACUGGAUGGACUGCAGCUAGAGUCGGUGGUAGUGCAAGUCUGAAGGCCACCUCUCCAACCCUCUCAAAAAUCUCAAAAGGUCCGAUAUACCUAGGGCUCACCUUGCCCUUCUUCCCGAACCUCAUAACACCCUUCAUGGACGAAACCCGGAGCAAGACUCGCUCCUCAACCAUGAAUGCAACAUCGCAAACCUUCCGAUCGGCAAAACUCUUCUGUCUAGAUUGGGCUGUAUGAAGUCGAUCCUGAAUCAAUUUAAUCUUUUCCAAAGCAUCCUGAAUCAAGUCUGUACCCAAUAGCCGAGCCUCACCCUGCUCAAACCAACCCACCAGAAACCGGCACCGCCUACCAUACAAAGCCUCGUACGGGGCCAUCUGAAUGCUCGAUUGGUAGCUGUUGUUGUAGGGAAACUCCACAAGCGGCAAAAACUUAUACCAAGAACCCCCAAACUCCAUCACACACGCACAAAGCAUAUCCUCUAAUAGCUGAAUAGUGCGCUCGGAUUGUCCGUCCGUCUGAGGGGGAAAUGCUGUACUCAACUCCACUCGAGUACCUAACUCAUGCUGUAUGGCUCUCCAGAACUGCAAUGUAAACUGCGUACCCCGGUCAGAGAUGAUAGAUACUGGCGCGCCAUGAAGCCUGACAAUCUCGCGAAUAUAAACUCGAGCUAGCUGCUCAGAGGAAUAAAUAAUCACCACUGUAAUAAAAUGAGCCGACUUGAUCAACCUAUCUACAAUCAGCCAAACUGCAUCAAACUUUCUCUGAGUCCGUGGGAGUCCAACAUCAAAAUCCAUAGUGAUCCGCUCCCAUUUCCACUCUGGGAUCUCUAGCUUUUGAAGCAAUCCACCUAGCCGUUGAUGCUCAUACUUCAUCUGCUAACAAUUUAGGCAUCGAGAUACAUACUCCACUAUGUCCUUAUUCAUUCUCCUCCACGAAUAAUGCUGCCUCAGAUCCUGAUACAUCUUCCCGGCACCUGGAUGAAUGGAGUACCGCGAACUGUGAGCCUCCUCGAGAAUCAACUCACCCAAGCCAUCUACAUUGGGCACACAUAGCCUGCCAUGCAUCUGUAAUACACUGUCAUCUCCAAUAGUGACCUCCUUGGCAUCGCCGUGCUAAACCGUGUCCUUGAGGAUAUGCAGAUGGGGGUCGCCAUACUGACGCUAUCUGAUACGAUCAAAAAGACAAGACCGAGAAAUCAUACAAUCCAAAACUCGGCUCUGCUCAGAAAUAUCCAAUCUAAGAAACUAGUUGGCCAAGGCUUGAACAUCCAAGGCUAAUGGCCUCUCUGCUAUCGGUAGAUAUGCUAAGCUGCCCAAACUCUCCGCCUUGCGACUCAAGUCAUCGACCACCACAUUGGCCUUUCUGGGAUGAUAUAGAAUGGUGAUAUCAUAGUCCUUAAGAAACUCUAACCACCUCCGUUGCCGCAAGUUAAGAUCUUUCUGUUUGAACAGAUAUUGUAGACUCCGGUGAUCAGUGUAGACCUCACAAGGGACACCGUACAAAUAGUGACGCCAGAUCUUCAAGGAAUGUACAAUAGCUAAUAACUCGAGGUCGUGGACAGGAUAGUUCUUCUCAUGCACCUUUAUCUGUCUACACAUGUAGGCAAUCACUCUACCAUCCUGCAUCAACACCGCGCUGAGACCAAUGCGCAACGCAUCAUAAUACACAGUAUAAGACCCUGAACCUGUAGGCAAUACCAACACUGGGGAUGUAGUCAAAGCAGUCUUGAACUUUUGAAAGCUCUCCUCACACUCCUCGGUCCACCUGAACAUAGCACUCUUCUGGGUCAGCCUGGUCAUAGGUGUGAGCACGUAAGUUUUUCCCUAAGUAUAAAUCACUCCUAAAAGAUUCAAGAAAUAAAUUUUUUCAAUCAUUUUGAUUUUUGUAGAAAUUCUAAAGAUUUUUCCUUCUUUGUUUGUUUGCAUUUUUAGAUUAAUUGCAUUAUUAGGGGGGCAUUUUAAAUCAUAAAACUACCAAAAAUACUUUUGAUUUCAUUCAUUGAAUUCUAAUUGCAUUUUAGGAUUUCAUUACAUUGUUAAAUGCAUUAGUUAAAUAUCUAAAAAUCACAAAAAAUGCAUUCUUAGGUUAGUUAAUUAAUUAGGUCAUUAGUCAAUCAAUAGGUAAAAUAGAUAAAUAAUUUAGCCAUACAAAUUGGAUUAACCUACAAUUAGAGUUUAAAGUGGCUAACUUUACGAAAAAUCUAAUAAAGAAGGAAAAGAAUGAAAAGGGGUUAUUAGGCUUCACAUUCGAACUGGGCAAAGAAAAAUUGAAUGGCCCAAUUGCCUUAAUUCCUCCCCAAACCCUUUCCCAAACCCGAUCCAUAAAAUCCGAUCCAUCACCUACAAUAAAUCCCCUCAGAAGAACAUUCACCCCCUCAUCUGAAAGAAAAACCCUAGUCGCCCCUAAUCCUUUCAUCCUCUCAAGUCAGCUUCCCCAUCUCUCACCUCACUCUCACCUUUAUUCAUUCUCCUCUCCUCACUCCCACAGAUAUCUCUCAUAAAACAAAGAUAAAAAAAGGGGUUCUGGAUUUUUUUUAAAAAAAACCAAAAAUUCUCAUAAACAAAAAAAAAAAAUCAAAAAAGGGGAAUUCGAAGUUGGUUUCCAGUUCCUACUCAAUUGGUGCUUGUUUUUCUGGGUUUGGGAAGAUGUUGAGCUUGAAGAGCUGUUGUUUACUGCUUGGAUUUGUUUGUCUCGAGUUGCUGAAUUUCAUUUCUACAACUUCAGACCUUUAUUUGAUUGAGUUCAUUCGAUUUCUACUAUCAGGUAUGGGAUCUUCAUCUGUUAUCCUUCAUUUCGAGUUUAGGAAUAAAAUCUGAGUUGUUCAUGUUCAGUUUGCGAUUGAUCUUCUAGAUAUGGUCUGUUUAGUUUCCAAAUCUACCUAAUUCUCCUUCGUUGAUUAAUAUCUGUGUCUAUAAAACAUAUUUCAAUUAAAUGUUAAGUAAUUAUUUAUUAAGUUGAUACGGUUUGUUGAAAGAAUCCACCUCCUAAAAUCCAUAUUCAUGUUUAAGGUGAGCUUACAAGAUUAAACUAAUUCCAUUUUUUUGUAUUUAGCUGUUUGAUUAAUGAUAGUUGUUUCCUUGUGAAUUGAGAAUCUGUUGGGGAAAUGAAAGCAUGCGGCCUAAGGAAAUCCAUUUUUCAUGAAAUUUAGGGUAACUAGGGCCUGAUCUAUUUGUGAAAAUGAGAAGAGUCCAUGACUCUUCAAGAUACUGGGCCAAGUGGGCUUGAAGUUGUUCAGCUUUUUUUGAAUAUUAUCUACAUGGGCCUGACCAGGUCCCAUGUGAUCAGAACUGAAUCUGUUGUGUAGUCUUGACCACAAUUGAAUAGCUUAAAUGCCUAUGACUCAAAGUCGUUUGUAAUUAACAUUUCCUGUUCCUCAUUAACUCUCCUUACGUGACGAUGACUAAUUUAGGAUAUAGAGAGUGAAAUACUUGUUGACUUCAUUGAUAAUUAGGGGAAGGUUUGGAUUUGGAUCAACAGAGCGUACAUGGGAAAUCGGUUACUGGCAGCCCGUUAGAGCAAAAUAAAGUAAUCAUAUUAGCUCAAUGAGGAUCAGCUACAAUCGUGAAAGUAUUUUUAUAAUCCCACAUAGGUAACAAAAGGUAUGGUUACGCUCAAACAGAUGAAUUCUAUAACUUUUGGCCUCACAAUAAUCUCAAAGAUUAGGAAAGUAGUUCAAAUGCGCUAGUUGCUUUAGGCACAAUUAAUAAAUAAAAUUAUUGUGACUAUGGGUACGGUUGCCUUGGUAUGGUCAUGAUACGUAAAUCCCAACUCAAGUGCGUAUUUCAUGCGACUUGAUCACAACUUCAAACAAUUAAAAUAAGCACAUUGUAAAUCACGAAUACGUUUCACGUGGCGUGAUUUGCGAUGUGUAUAAAGUAGCAAGUGCGCGACAUCACGACUUGUUCAAAUAAAUUCCAUAAUUGUUUAAAAUAAUUAAAAGCGGUAUAGAAGCGGUAACGCAUAAACGGUUUUAAACAUGUAAUAAUUCAUAUAAUUAAGCCAAAUAUUAAUUGUUAAGAGAAUUCUUUACCCGGUUUUCUAUGUUCACGGACCAUAAAUAGAGUCAAUUUUCUCGAUUUGGAAUUUUAAAAUAAACCGAUGAUUGGGACACCAUAAUAAUUAUUCCAAGUAUAGACUCUAAUUAAAUAAAUAAUCUCAUUUCGAAUAACGUCACUUUAAUUGGAAAACCUCCCUUAUCUUCGAAAAAAAGGAGGUGUGACAGCUCUGGCGACUCUACUGGGGAUUGAACCCAGAAUCUCUGGUUCAGGGUUUAGAAUUCGAAGAUGACUUUUAUACUUGGCUUUUGUUUAUUUUCUAAUCUUACGUGUUUCGCCUAAUAUGCUAAUUAUUGCUCUUUACCACUUUGAUAUUGUCGUGAACUGUAUAUAAAACUGUUACGACACCCUUCUUCUCUCUGAGUCUUCUAAAUCUUCUAGGAAGCGUGCGCUUCGCGUGGCUUCUUUUCUAUUAGAGUCAUACCUCAAAUUUUAGAACGAGGAUCGGACAAGUUGCAAAGCCGGUGAAACUUCUGUAUUUUCGGUACAAUGCCCCCUCCCCCCUCCCCCGGCUCGAGUUGUCCGCUCAGAUACACACCCCAGGAAUUAAACCUAGAAUAACAUAGCCUCAUGCCGGAUGCCUAGCAGGAAUAUUUGUUUGCAUCACGUGCAUUGACUUUGGGGACUCAACACAGGGGUUGAAUCCGUCUAGGACAGGUGUACCCAAUAUAAAAGACGUAUUUUACGUGCUACUUGUGCAUAUGUUUGUUUCGGCUUGCAUGUUAACUGACUUCUAGAAUAGGGAAAGAAAAUCAAGAAAAAAUCAAGAGUGAGGUAGGAGAGAGAAAAUUUACCCGGUUCUGAAAAAUCCAGGUAUUUGAAAAAUCCUAAAACUCUGCCGAAAUUUUGAAAAAAAAGGGAAAAAGAAAAGUCAUUUCAAAAUGAGCCAAUGUUUUCAAAAAGUCAUAUUUUUCUGUUGUGUCAACACUGACCGAACUACGCGGGUCUGAUUCUCACCGAAUGUGAGAUACGUAGGCAAACCUUAUCGGUUCUGGCCCCAAUAUUUAAAAAUCUAAAAAUAUUUUCCUUUAAUUCCUUCUUUAGAAGUCUUUUCUUAGAAAAUCCCAAAUAAAAAAAAAGAUUUUAAACCCAAAAUAUUUUUCGUUCUUUUUAGAAGUUUUUCAUUCGAGAAAAUAAAUAAAUAAAUCAAAUCAAAAUCCAAAAAUAUGUUUUUCUUUCUUUAGAAGUCUUUCUCCCAAAAAUUUAAAAAAUAAAAAAAAUAAAAUAAUUUUAAAUCAAAAUCCAAAAUAUUAUCUUUCUUCUUUAGAAGUCGUUCUUUUGGAAAUUCAAAAGCAAAAAUAUCAAAAUCCAAAAAUAUUUUUUUUUUGUUCUUUAGAAGUCUUUUCUUUCAAAAAUUCCCCAAAGAACAAAUCAAAAUCCAAGAAUAUUUUCUUUCUUCUUUAAAAAGCCUUAUUUUCAAAAACAUCCCAAAGAAUAAAUAAAAAAUAAAAAAUAAAAAAUAAAAAAAAGAGCUAGCUUAUAUACUUUAUUUCCCUAAACUACCUUAUAAUUUGAUUCAUACGGCGUCAUGAUAAAUAGGCAACUCCCAUCGGAUUCGAUCAUUGCCAUUAAAUAAACCGAGUGAAAGAAAAAAAGAGAAGAAAGAAAAAGAAAAAAAAAGUGUGACAAAAAUAACAGAGAAAAACAAAGAGCAAAAAACAACAAAAAGAGAAAGAAAAAGAAAUCAAGAUAUGAAAAAAAAUGAAUGAAAGGAAAGAGUUACAGAGUGGAAAAGAGCUAGUGAAAGAUGGGAUGAAGCACGUAACCGUUCAAACCCAUGGUAGAAACGUUUAACUAUUUAGGUGCAUUGCAUCCCUACGUACGAUUUUCUACAUGUUAAGAUGUUUCAAAUCUAACAAGGUUGUUGUGCGUGCAUUUAGCCAGGUUUUUUUCAGGUAGUUGGUUUUGUUGGUAAUCUUGCUUCUCACCCCUAUUUUUCAAGAUCCAAAGGAAAGGUUCCAAUGUCCUCAGAGAGCAAUCUCCGCAUUAUUAAUCCUAACGAUAGCCUUGAACCGGCUAUUCCACUGCCAGAAUCAGCAACUGCUUAAGAAAAUAGGAUGUUGCGUCUCCGCAUGUUCGAAAUGUGGGACGCCUGGUCUAAAGGUAGGGAACCACCGAUUGCAAUUCCUGGGUUCCCUGGGUUGAUCCCUAGGUCAAGUGAGGCCACCAACGUCAUUGUGCCCAACCUAUUCAUCCCGUGCGGAUACCCUCCAAUGCCAUCUAAUGGUCCUGGCAUGUUUUCUGUGGUUCACCCCCAGGCAUCGGAUUCAAGGGCACCUCCAACAAUGUUCUCUAUAGCACCAGUCUGCACCACAACACAAUCAACUAUACCAGAGCCAUAUGUUUAGCCUCUGACAUUCACCUUUGAGGGUCCACAGUUUCUACCAGAAAUGACAUAUGUGACCCCAUACUCAUUUACUCAACCUCCGCAAUGUGACUUCUCGGUUCGGCAAGAAAAGGUUGUCAAGAAUCCCGAGCUAGAGGAAAUGACUCGGAAGAUGAAGAGCUUGGAACAAAGCUUAAAAAACAUUCAAGGCUUAAGCGGCCAAAAGAGUGUCGCGUACUCUGAUCUGUGUAUGUUCCUUUAUAUGCGCUUGCUGGCAGGUUUCAAAAGUACGACAGUCAUGGAGACCCGAUCGCUCAUCUGAAAUGAUAUUGUAACCAGUUGAGGGGCAUUGGUGGAAAAGAGGAGUUGUUAAUGGCCUAUUUUGGAGAAAGUCUCACCGGAAUUGCUUCCGAAUGGUACAUGGAUCAAAAAAUUACCCAUUGGCAUGUGUGGGUCAAUUUGGCCCGAGAUUUUGUCUGUCAGUUCCAGUAUAAUGUGGACAUGGCUCCCGACAGAAACUUUUUGUCUAAUUUUAAAAAGAAAAUCACGAAAAUUUUUCGUGAAUAUGCUAUCAAAUGGCGCGAGCAAGCCGCCAGGGAGCCUCUAAUAGACGAAGCAGAAAUGGUAAGGGUCUUCCUACAGGCCCAAAAGGUGGAUUACUUCCAGAAUAUGAUGUCCGCUAUGGGCAAGCCAUUUUCUAAAGCUAUCAAGAUCGGGGAGGUGGUAGAGAACGGUCUGAAAACUGGCCGGAUAUUAAGUCAAGCCGCUUUGAAAACUAUAUCACAAGUCAUCCAGAAUGGCUCAGGGGUUUGUCCAAUCGCAAAAAGAGGGAGGAGGGAGCCAUGAUGGCUUCGAGUUCAAGAAGGCCUCACCGAUCAUUUGACCGCUCUUAUAUGCCACCAAGAACACCACAACACUAUUUCCCACAUCAAGAUGCAGCUUAUGCCGUGGCACCGCCUCACUAUGCGGUGAUGAAUGCCCAACCUAACACACGACCACAACAGCACUACAACCAAGCCCGAGCUCCACCUCCUAAAAAAAACCAUCUCUACCAAGCUCCAUAUAAUCCGCGCCCAUCACAAAAUGCACACCAACAUAACCAUGCCCUCAUGAGCCUCCCAGGAGAAGCAAUAUCACCCUUAUUGGUGAAUCUAACUCAAGUCUGCUUCAAAAGUUAAUCCAACUGGGUCUAUUGCAACCUGUACCUCCCAAUCGGCAAAAUCCUGAGUCCCCAUCAUACAGGGCUGGUACCAGAUGUGCUUACCAUUCAGGAGUAGAAGGCCAUGAUACAGAAGACUGUUGGACACUCAAAAGGGCGGUCGAAAGCUUGAUAGAAGAAAAAAGACUUGUGCUAAGGGAUGAAGAGAUCACUAAUGUGACUAACAAUCCAUUACCGGCUCACAAUAAUGGGUCAGUCAUUGGAAUGAUUAGUGAUGACAAAAAGUUUGAUCCAGCAUUGAAGGCUAUUGUUGCCAUCGCCAAUUCAGAGGCAAGACCUAAAGCGGCGGUGAAAUUGGCCAAAACCGAAAAGAAAGUUGCUCCGGUUCCUCAAGCUGUUGAAACAAAGACUGGGCGAGCACCUGCCAAAAACGUGGUUCUCUAUGUUCCUAAGGCCCCGAGAAAAGAACAACUUAUCCUCAACACUCCUAAGAAAUUCGAUGAAAGGAAGGCGACAUUGAGUGUGCCAAGAUUGUAUGUGCCAAAGGGGACCUAUGUGGCGCGUGGGCCAGUAAUUUCACCAAGGCUGACUGAGCCAGUGGUUAUCAGCCUCGCACCACAGAGCCCUAUGAAAUAUCCCACCGCAGUCCCUUGGAACUACAACAGAACCGUGGUUACAUACAAAGGGAAAAAGGUUAUGGGAGAAGUGAAUGAGAUGAAUCAGUCUGGGAAGUACCACACCCCAGAAGAGCUAAAGAAGUCCAAACUAAACAGGGAUAAACAGAUGCCGUCCAAGAAGCCUGUAAGUAAUGAGGAAGUAGAAGAGUUCUUCAGAAAGAUGACAACUUCAGAAUACUCAAUAGUUGACCAACUCCGAAAGACUCCUUCCCAAGUCUCACUCUUAUCUUUAUUGCUGAGUUUGAAUGAACACCAGAAAGUCCUCCUCAAAACACUGAAUGAGGCAUACGUCCCGGUUGAUACUUCUGUCGAACAACUGGAAAGAAUGGCCGAAAGAUUCUUUUAGGUCAAUAGGAUUUCCUUUAGCCGCGAUGAUUUGCCCCCAGAGGGAGCCGCCCACAAUAAAGCCCUCCACUUGACUGUCAAAUAUGAGGGCUAUUAUGUGAAAAGAGUGAUGUUAGAUGGUGGGUCCGGGGUCGAUAUUUGUCCUCUCUCAACACUCUAGAGAAUGGAGAUUGGAAUAGAAAGAAUCCGAGCUAACAAUGUCUGUGUACGAGCUUUUGAUGGUGUCAAGAGAGACAAUAGGAGAAAUUGAUCUAAUUCUGACCAUUGGCCCCGUAGAUUUUGAGGUGACCUUCCAGGUGUUGGACAUGGAAACCUCAUACAAUUUCCUCCUGGGUAGACCAUGGAUCCAUGCUGCUGGAGCCGUUCCCUGCGCUCUUCACCAAAUGGUCAAGGUUGAAUAUGAAAAUCAAGAGAUUGUUGUCCAUGGAGAAGAUGAGCAAUCCAUCUACCGGGACCCUUCAAUCCCGUGUCUUGAAGCUAGGGAAGGCAACGAGCAUAUUGUAUACCAAGCUUUCGAAAUUGUGGUCGCCGACCAAUUUGAAGAAGGGGCCCCAUUACGUCAACCUUGCUUGUCUAAUGCUUUGGUCAUGGUCGCCACCCAAAUGAUUUGAAAUGGGUACAAGCCCGGAAAGGGGCUCGGGGUAUCUUUGCAUGGCAUCACUGAGCCUAUUAUCCCAAUCGCCAAUGAGAAGUGUUUUGGUAUGGGUUUCCGAGCUUCAGAGGCCAACAGAACAUGGGCUAAUAAGUGCAAAUAAAAUGGGUGGGUCCUGUCCCAGCCCAUUCCACAUCUCGCCCAAUCAUUUGUCAAACCAAAGUAUGUGGAAGAAGAAGAAGAGGCCUUCACGACUGAGGAAAUUGAUGAUAUUUGUGAAGCCUUGAAACAAAUGCUAUAUGAGUCCCACAUGGUCCAGCCAGGGGAAGACACGAGCAAUGCCGAGGUGCAGUAUAUGGGGCCGGAUUUCAAGCUCUAGACCUGGGAGGCUACCCCAUUCCCGGUCAGGCAGGAGUGUCGGUAGUUCAGUUUUGCCAUCUCUUCUACAUUACGAGUUAUUUCAGGGUGUAACUCGAAUGUUUUACUGUAUUGUCUUUUAUUCUGAUGUAAACCCUCAUAUCUUCAAUUCAAUGAAAUGAAAUCAAUAUUUCAUCGUCCAUAAAUGUCUCUUUUCUUUUGUUCUGAUUUUGCUAUUUUUCUUAUCUUUUUCUUUUCAGUUCUUAUAAUGCAGACUUAAAUAAGAUGACAUCCUUGCGAACUUCAUGCCCAAAUCCUAAAAUGCUGUCUAACUUUGAAAUAAUGAAUCAAGAGCCAGAAUAUGAUGAAGAUGAGGUUUUUAGGGAAAUAAAUCUAGAAUUGGAAUAAUUUGAGAAUAAGCCUAAGCCAAACUUAAAUGACACCGAGCCAGUUAAUUUGGGCAGUUCAGAAGAGAUCCGAGAAACCAUGAUAAGCAUUCACACUGAUGAAAGAACCAGGGACGCCUUGAUCCAACUUUUGUUUGAAUUCAAAGACGUGUUCGCAUGGUCUUAUGAUGAUAUGCCAAGACUGAGCGUUGAUUUGGCGGUACAUAAAUUGCCUACCUAUCCCGGUUAUCCACCUGUCUAAUAGAAGCAAAGAUAGUUCAAAACAGACAUUAGUGAUAAGAUCAAGGAAGAAGUCACGAAACAACUGAAAGCUAGUGUGAUCCGAGUAGUCAGAUACACCACGUGGCUGGCUAAUGUGGUCCCAGUGGCGAAGAAAGAUGAAAAAAGCCAAGUGUGUGUUGAUUAUCGGGAUUUGAACAAGGCGAGUCCCAAGGACAACUUUCCAUUGCAAAACAUCCACACUCUUGUUGAUAACUGUUCUAAACAUGAGAUACAGUCUUUCGUGGAUUGUUAUGCUGGGUAUCACCAGGUUCUGAUGGAUAAAGAAGAUGCCGAAAAGACUGCUUUCACCAUACCUUGGGGCACUUACUAUUACAAGGUCAUGCCAGUUGGUUUGAAAAAUGCCGGGGCAACCUACAUGAGAGCUAUGACUGCCAUCUUCCAUGACAUGAUGCACUAUGAAAUAGGGGUAUAUGUGGAUGAUGUGUUCAUUAAAUCCAGAACGCAAGAGGACCAUGUGCGAGAUCUGAGGAAGUUCUUUGAGCGACUGUGCAUGUAUGAUUUGAAAUUGAACCCAACUAAAUGUGCAUUCGGGGUUCCGUCUGGGAAACUUAUGGGGUUUAUAGUCAGUCGGAGGGGUAUCGAAUUAGAUACAACAAAAAUUAAGUCUAUUCAGGAUUUGCCCCCUCCAAGGACCAAGAAAGAAGUCAUGAGUCUGCUAGGGAGGCUGGAUUACAUCAGCAGAUUCAUCGCUCAGCUUCCUACCACUUAUGAGCCCAUAUUCAAGCUGUUAAAGAAAGACGCGGCAAUUAAAUGGACUGAUGAGUGUCAAGAAGCUUUUGAUAAAAUCAAAGAAUAUCUGUCAAAUCCGUCAGUGUUGGUUCCACCCGAGCCGGGAAGACCUUUGUUCUUAAAUCUAACAGUCAUGGAGAAUUCUUUUGGCUGUGUCCUGGGGCAACACGAUGUGACCGGAAAGAGAGAACAAGCCAUAUACUAUCUGAGUAAGAAGUUCACCAGUUAUGAAGCCAAAUACAUUUUGUUGGAAAGAACUUGUUGCGCCCUAACUUGGGUCGCCCAAAAGCUCAAACAUUACUUGUUGGAUUAUACAACAUAUCUCAUAACCAGGAUGGAUCCUUUGAAGUAUAUAUUCCAGAAGCCAAUGCCCACUGGAAGGUUAGAUAAUUGGCAGAUCCUUCUCACAGAGUUUAACAUUGUCUAUGUCACCUGCACGACAAUGAAAGCCCAAGCCAUGGCACUUCAUCUAGCUCAGCAUCCGGUCGAUGAUGAAUACCAACCCCUAAGCACUUACUUUUCGGACGAGGAAGUAAACUCAGUUGAAGUAGUUCCAGAGAACACCAAUGCGUGGAAAAUGUUCUUUGAUGGGGCUAUAAAUGCAAAGGGCGUGGGGAUCAGGGCAAUUCUGAUUUCGUCCACAUGUCAACACUAUCUGGCCAAAGCCCGGCUCUGGUUCUUCUGUACAAACAAAACCACUGAAUAUGAAGUUUGCAUCAUGGGCAUGAAUAUGGUAAUUGAUCAGGAUGUGGAGCACCAAUUGUGCGGUCGAUUUGUGGAUCGCAUAAGUGUUAUGCGGUUGCAUAUGCGACCGCAGAUCUUCGUCAGGGCUUCAUUUUUCUAAUUUUAUAACUUGACACCCAUUUCAUUUAUCUAGCCUAAGGGUUUAUUUUUAGGGGAUUACCUGAUGUUUUAGAGAGAGUAGAGAUCUAUUCUAGAGAGAGGAAAGGGAGGGAUAAGGAUUUUACUACUCAACUUGAGUCAAGCCUUGAAAUCUCAUCAAGAGGGACUUGUUAGGGCUUCAAAAAAGCAAGAAUUGCUUCUCCCAAUUAUUCAAUUUCGGAUUUUGGGUAAUAGGGAGUGUGAUUCUUGUAUGAGAGAGUAUUAUUAUACAUGCAUGUACCAACGAUAUGUAUGGGAAGGUUGUUGGGCUCAAAUGGGUAACGAUUGGGUUGUGGGAUGAAGGAAUCUACCAUAAAAGACCCUUGAAAUCAUGAUGCACACCUAGUGUUUGAUCAAAUGCUUAAAUGAGGUGAACCCACAGAUAUCUUCCUAAUUAUGGUUCAAUUUUGUUAUGUUUCUAAAUAAAUUGAGGUUGCUAGAGUUUUCAGAACAUUGUAGUAAUUUAAGGAAGUUCAAAGCAAGGUAUGUUGGCUAAACUCUUCUCUUAGAAUUGAACCCCACAUUACCCUUGUAAGUUCCGAGUUGAUCAUCAUAAAUCAAUUAUUCUGAAUAAGCUUUGUGGCAAAGAUAUAUGUUCAAUGUGUUUCAAAUGCUCUUAUUAUGUUGUGCUAAUAAUUGAGGAUGUGUUCAAAGUAUAGAUUGUGUGUCUUCAUGUUAUAACUCCAAGUCGUGUUUCAAAUGAAAGUUAUUAUGCCAAAUUGUGUAAAGAUUGUGAUUGGGAUUACACCUCCACCCGCAUAUAUAUUGGGGUGAGGCGGGAGGGCCGCUUUGUGUAGGAUUCUGGUAUUGUUGUUACACCACCACCCGCAUACAUUGGGGUGAGUCGGCGUGGCUGCUUUGUGUAGAGUUGUGGUAUUGUGAGUAUACCUCCACUCACAUACAUUGGGGUAAGGCGGCAGGGCCUCUUUGUGUAGUAUUGUGAAUGCACCUCCACCCGCAUACCUUGGGAUGAGGCGGCAAGGACACUCUGUGUAAAGAUAGUUGUAGAGGAUCCCCGACUUGAAAUUUAUAAUGUUAUUGGAAGUUCUUAAUAACAUCUGUUUUGACUUGUAUGCCUAUCUAAGCCCUAUUAUUGUUACCAUGAUUCAUCAUAUUCAUGUUGUAUUUCCAAGUCCUUGAAUAAAUGUUUUGAUUUUUAUACUAGUACUAUUCGACAUGUACUAACGUCCCUUUUUGCCGGGGGUGCUUCAUCUUUAAUGGAUGCAGGUGGUUCCACGGCGGGAGGCAUUUAUAAGUGAUAGAGGUAUACUUUUUUCCAGCUGACUUGGUGAGCCCCACUUCAUUUGGGGUUGUGCAUCUUUUGUUACGCGUGUAUUAUGUUUUGAGGUAUAGCCGGAACCUUGUUGCCGGCACUAACAUUGUAUUCUUUUAUAUCUAUUAGAAGCUCCGUAGACAUAGUGUGGGUUGUGUAUUAGUGUGGGAAAGAUAUACUAAAGAUGUCAUAAUUGUAUCUCAUGCUUCCACUGUAAAACUAUGGUUGUGAAAUGUAUUGCUUUGGAGACUUAUAAAUGAAGUAACUAAUGGUGAUGGAACUAGUGUUCCCUCGUAGUAUUAAUUAAUGAAGAUUAUAUUCUCUUUGUCUAUGGGUGAGUUGGAUAGAAGGAAAUCCAGCAGGUUUGUUCGGUCGAGUUAUCUCGGUUGAGCGCCGGUCGCGCUCCCCGAGGUCGGGGCGUGACAUAAACUAAUUCCAAUUUUUUUUAUUUAGCUAUUUUAUUAAUGAUAGUUGUUUCCUAUUGAAUUGAGAAUCUGCUGGGGAAAUGAAAGCAUGUGGCCUAAGGAAAUCCAUUUUUCAUGAAAUUUAAUGUAACUAGGGCCUGAUCUGUUUGUGAAAAUGCGAAGAGUCCAUGACUCUUCGAGAUACUGGGCCAAGUGGGCUUGAAGCUGUUCAGUGGUUUUUGAAUAUAAUCGACAUGGGCCUGACCAGGGCCCAUGUGAUCAGAACUGGAUCUGUUGUGUAGUCUUGGCCACAAUUUAAUAGCUUAAAUGUCCAUGACUCAAAGCCAUUGGUAAUUAACCUUUCCUUUUCCUCAUUAGCUCUCUUUACGCGACGAUGACUAAUUUAGGCUUUAGACAGUGGAAUAGUUGUUGACUCCAUUAAAAAUAAGGGGGAGGUUUGGAUUUGGAUUAAUAGAGUGUUACAUGGUAAAUCAGCUAUUGGCAGCCCGUUAGCGCAAAAUAAAGUAAUCAUAUUAGCUCAAUGAGGAUCAGCUACAAUCAUGAAAGUAUUUUUAUAAUCCCUAGGUAACAAAAGGUACGAUUACUCUCAAACAGGUGAAUUCUAUAACUCUUGGCCUCACAAUAGUCUCAAAGAUAAGGAAAAUAAUUCAAAUGCGCUAGUUUCUGUAGGCGCGAUUAAUAAAUAAAAUUAUUUGUGACUAUGGGUACGGUUCCCGUGGCAUGGCCAUGAUACGUAAAUCCCAACUCAAGUGCGCGUUCCAUGCGACUUGAUCACAACUUCAAACAAUUAAAAUAAACACGUUGUGAAUCACGGGUACGUUUCACAUGCCAUGAUUUGCGAUGUGUACAAAGUAGCAAGUGCGCGACAUCGCGACUUGUUCAAAUAAAUUCAAUAAUUUUUUAUUAUAAUUAAAAGCGGUAACGCAUAAACGGUUUUAAACAUGUAAUAAUUCAGAUAAUUAAGCCAAAUAUUAAUUGUUAAGUGACCGAGCUAAAACCACAGAACUCGGAAGUGCCUCACACCUUCUCCCGGGUUAACAGAAUUCCUUACCCGGUCUUCUGUGUUCGCGGACCAUAAAUAGAGUCAAUUUCCUCAAUUUGGGAUUUUAAAAUAAAUCGGUGACUUGGGACACCAUAAUAAUUAUUACAAGUGGCGACUCUAAUUAAAUAAAUAAUCCCAUUUCGAAUAAUGUUACUUUAAUGGGAAAAACUCCCUUAUCUUCGAAAAAAGGUGGUAUGACAAUAGGUGAUGCAAUAGACGAGAAACCAUGUACAAAUAGACGGUAAUACCCCGCCAAACCAAGAAAACUCCGGAUAUCCGUAGCCGAGGACGGUCUGGGCUAACUCUGCACUGCUUCAAUCUUCUUCGGAUCUACCUUGAUCCCCUCACUCUAUACUACAUGACCCAAAAAUACCACUGAAUCUAGCCAGAAUUCACACUUUGAAAAUUUUGCAUAUAACUUGUUUUCUCUCAAGGUCUGAAGCACAGUCCUCAGGUGCUGCUCAUGAUCCUCCCGGUUCCAGGAGUACACCAGAAUGUCGUCAAUGAACACAAUGACGAACGAGUCAAGAUAGGGCUAAAAUACACUGCUCAUCAAGUGCAUGAAUGUUGCUUGGGUGUUGGUCAGCCCAAAGACAUCACAAGGAACUCGUAAUGUCCAUACCGAGUCCUGAAGGCAGUCUUCGGGUUAUCUGGCUCCCUUGAUCUUAGAGAACACUCUGGCACCCUGAAGCUGAUCAAAUAGGUCAUCAAUACGUGGCAAUGGAUACUUGUUCUUCACUAUAACCUUGUUCAACUGGCGAUAAUCAAUACAUAUUCGCAUAGAACCAUCCUUCUUCUUGACAAAUAAGACUGGAGCACCCUAAGGUGACACACUGGGCCGAAUGAAACCCUUAUCAACCAACUCCUGCAACUGUUCCUUUAACUCUUUCAACUCCGCUGAGGCCAUAUGAUAGGUUGGAAUAGAAAUGGACUGAGUGCCCAGUAACAAAUCAAUACCAAAGUCGAUAUCUCUGUUACGCGGCAUGCUCGGAAGAUCCGUCAGGAAUGCAUCUGGAUAAUCCCUCUCUACCGGAACUGACUCGACGGUAGGAGUAUCAAAACUGACAUCUCUCACAUAUGCCAGAUACGCAUCACACCCCUUCUCAACCAUCCGAUGAGCCGUUAGAAAUGAAAUAACCAUGCUAGAAACAUAAUCUAAAGCACCUCUCCACUCUAACUGCGGUAGACAUGACAUAGACAACGUCAUCGUCUUGGCAUGAUAAUCAAGAAUACCAUGAUAUGGCGACAACCAGUCCAUGCCCAAAAUAAAAUCAAAAUCCACCAUACAAAGCAACAAUAAAUUGGCUUUGGUCUAAAAACCACUAAGAACAACCAAGUACAACACACAAUCAAUAACAAUAGAAUCUCCCACAGGUGUAGACACAUAGACAGGAGAACUCAAAGAAUCACGGGAUAUACCCAAAUACGGAGCAAAAUAAGACGACACAUAGGAAUAAGUGGAGCCUGGAUCAAAUAAGACUGAUGCAUCUCUAUGACAGACCGGAACAAGGCCUGUGAUGACAGAGUUAGAUGCAACUGCCUCCGUCCUAGUAGGAAGAGCAUAUUAUCUGGCCUGGCCUCCUCUUCUAGGGCGACCUUUACCUGCUCGACCUCCACAUCUAGCUGGCUGUGCAGGUGGGUUAGUAGUUGGUGCGGCGACCAUGGAUUGCGAAGCCUGAGGACCCAGUGGAAUACACGGAGCCUGGGUAGUCUGUGGAGGUGCACCCCUCCUGAAUCUGGGGAAAUCCCAUACCAUAUGACGAGUGUCACCACACUUAAAACAAGCUCUCAGAGGACGUGGCUGGCUCGGGCAUGAUCGGCUAGACUGACCUCUAAAAGCACCUCGUGCAAGAGGUGCACUAGAUCAUGGCGGUGCAUAAUAGGGAGCCUGAGGCCUAGGAGUGGCCAGAAUACUGCUGGAAGCUGGAAGGGAUGAAUGAACAGGGUGACUCACAUAGCCCCUACCAUGACGAGUUGCAGCUGGGGCACGAGUACCACUAUAUGUGCCAGACUCUCGAGACCUCUUGGCCUCCCUGUCCUCUCUCUCCCGAGUCAACAUACUCCGAAAUCUCCUAGCUAUCCCCACUACAUGAUGGUAUGUGAUGUCCAUCUCCAACUCUCGGGCCAUGCUAAAUCUAAUAUUGGUGUUGAGCCCCUCGAUAAAUUGAUGGACCCGCUCUCUAACAGUAGCAACAAAAGCUGGUGCAUGCCUAGCUAAAUCAUUGAACCGGACCGUAUACUCCGACACAGUCAUAGAACCCUAGCAUAACUGCUUAAACUCUGCGCGCCAUGCAUAUCUAAGACUCUGGGAACACACUCCCUUAAGAACAUGUCCGAGAAUUGAAUCCAAGUGAGUGAAGCUACCUCGGCCGAACUACCCAACUCAUAUGCUCGCCACCACUGAUAAGUCGCUCCCCUAAGCUGGAACGUAGUGAAAGCAACCUCACUAGACUCCCCAAUACCCAUAGUACAGAGAAUACGGUGGCACUCCUCAAGAAAACCCUGGGCAUUCUCUGACGCCAAGCCAAUGAAAGUAGGAGGUUGCUACUUCUUGUACCUCUCUAGCCUGAUGUGCUCCUCCUCAAACGCUGCAGCCCUAACCUCGGGCUGAACUGGGGCUACCGGCUACACUAGUAUGACCUCUGGGACCUGGUCAACCUGGACCCGCUGCUCUGGGGUAUGGGCGAUGGGAGUCUGUACUCCUCCCCCGGCCUUAGAUGUAGCAGGAGCAAGUGGGAUCAACCCUGCCUGAGCUAAAGUGCCGAACAUGCUCAGAAACUGGGCGAGAGACUCCUAGAGAGCUGGUGCAGUAACAGGCAUCUCAGGUGUCUGCCCUCCAACUGGAACUACUGGUGGCUUCUCUGUAGCAGCUCGUGUGGGUGCUCUCGCCGCACCACGUGAACGUCCUGGGCUUCUACCCUGGCCCCCGCCCCAGCCUCUCGCGGCUCUAGUAGGGAGCGCGGGUGUUUGGUCAUCUGAUCCAGCUGUACGUGUCCUAACCAUCUGUAAGAGAAUAGAAAGAUAGAAAUUUAGAAUUCGAAGUUAAAGAUUUUGCACGAUAAGGAAUCAAAGAAGUGAAGCUUUUUCUAACAGUUCCAUGGCCUCACGAAGAUAAGUACAGACGUCUCCGUACCGAUCCACGAGACUCUACUAAACCUGCUUGUGACUCAUAACACCUAUGAACUUAGAGCUCUGAUACAAACUUGUCACGACCCCAAAUCCCCUCCGUAGGAUGUCGUGAUGACACCUAGUCUCUAAGACUAGGUAAACCUAACAAUAUGCGGAAACAUUGAAUAAAAACUUAAAAUUUCAAAACUUCAACAAUUUCACCAAUAUACUAUACGCUCAAUACGUACAAUUUCCCAAAACCCGGUGAGAUAUAAGUCACAAGUUCUAGAUACAAUGCUGAAAAAUUUUAUACAUCAUUGUCUACUAAAAUAUAAAGAAAAAAUAAAAGAACAGGAUAGAAGGGGACUCCGAGACCUACGGACGCGGGCAGGUGUACCUUGAAAUCUCCAGAGCAGCAACACAUCGCACUAAUAUCGAGGCUGAUAGGAUGUACCUGGAUCUGCACAAAAAUAUGUGCAUAAGCGUAGUAUGAGUAUACCACAACGAUACCUAGUAAGUGCCAAGCCUAACCCCGAUAGAGUAAUGACGAGGUCAGGUCAAGGCCCUAUUGGUAAAAAUAAGAACAAGGCGGAAAAUAUAAUGAUAUAAUAAAAAUGACAGGGAAGUGAACAAUGAAGAAUUUACAGAAAAUAACAACACGGAAUCAAGAAAAGCUAAUACAACAUGAAAGAAAAACAAGAAUUUUACAUGUUAGGGAAAACAAGAACCAAACAAUACAGCAUAUAAAGAAUAUCAACAGGGCACUCCCGAGGUCCGCCUCGUAGUCCCAAAUCGUAAAAACAAAUCAUAGUCUUUCCUUAUAUCACCGCGGGAGCCUUUAUAUUUUAUUUUUGAAAAUUAUUUUUCCGAAAUAACAUACCGCGUUUUAGCCGACUUUAUCACACCGCAUGGCUUCUAGUAGUUCCCCUACUAGCCAUGCGUAUCAAGCCCACCUUAUCUCACCGCUUGUGAUUCGACACCCAAACCUUAUACCAUUGCAUGUGUAUCAAUAAUCACAACGACACGGCAAAAACCUCGUACAACAAUAAAAACUGCACAGCGGAAACCUCGUGCAAACAAUAACAACCGCACGGCAAAAACCUCGUGUAACAAUCACAACCGAACAUCAACAAUAACACAAAAGCCAAAACACAACAACUAAAUAAAUGAUGUUUCAAGGAUAGCAAUUACAAGUAAAGAAUUUCCACAGUUAAGUAAUGAAUAUGAAAAUCAAGAAAAAUAAGUAAUUCAACUAAACAUGUGAUACACGUUGCAAAUAGGAGAUAAGACAAGUAGACAUGUGAAAUUAGGCUAAACAUGAUGACUGUAACGUGCUAAAGUAACUCAAUUAAGGCAUGAAAAGGAUACUACGUAGGAAAGACCGGAAUUUUAAUAUUUAGCCCGUGUACGCACUCGUCACCUUGCAUACACGACCUUCACAUAUCACAAAUUAUCACCAAAAUACCAAAUCCUAAGGGAAAUUUCCCUCACAUAAGGUUAGACAAGUCACUUACCUCAAACCACACUCAAUCAAUCAAUUAGAAGGCCUUUCACUCGAUUUUCUAACUCCGAACAGCUCGAAUCUAGCCAAAAUAAUUUCAUACUAUAAAUAUAACUAUAGGAAACUAAUUUAAGUAAUUAAAUAAUAAUUUUAGCAAAGAAUUGAAAAAUCGCUCCAGAAAGUCGACCGGACCCACGUCUCAGAACCCAACCAAAAUUAUAAAAUGCGAACACUCAUUCGAUAUCGAGUCCAACAAUACAAGAAUUAUCUAAAUCCGGCCUAAUUUAGCCCUUCAAAACCCAAAAACUUGGUCUAAGAACUUUUACACUUUUUUCCCAACUUUUCCACCCCAAAUCUCUAAUUACAUGAUGAAAUCAAUGAUAGAUUAGUGGAAUUUAAUUAAAAACUAGUUAAGAAUCCUUACCCCAACACUUCCUUUAAAAAUCUCUCAAAAUCUCACCUUAAUCCGAGCUGUGAAAGUCCAAAAGUGAAACAAGAGAAUGAACCCUCGUUUUGAAAUUUAAGUCUGCUGCCUAGUUGUUUACACAAUGCGAUCGCGUAAAUCCUCUCACGAUCGCGUAAGACAAAUUUUUGUCCAGCACAACUUAACCCUUCGCGAUCGCGCAAAGGCACUCUCGAACGCGGAUAAAAACACUGCCACAACAUUGUGCUCGCAUCACAGGCUACGCGAUCGCUUAGCACAACUGCCUCAUGCCCCAGGUUCGCCAAUUCUUCUGUGCGAACGCGAACUCCUCCACGCGUUCGCGAUUAACUGCAAGCCAAACCUCUGCGAUCCCAUCCUUAUCUCCGCGAACGCGUAGAGUAAAAACCUUCAAACCAUUAUAACCCCUUCAUGAUCGCAGUUCAAACCACACGAUCGCAUAGAAAGAAACCAGAAGCACCAGAUUCAGCAAUCCUAAAUGUUCUGAAAUGCGUCGAACAUGGUCCGAAUUACACCUGAGGCCCCGGGGACCUCAACCAAAUAUACUAACAAGUCAUAAAAUAUUACACAAAUAUGCUCGAACCGUCAAAUCACAUCAAAUAAUGCUAAAAUUAUGAAUCGCACCCCAAUUCAAGCCUAAUGAACUUAUAAACUUUUAACUUCUACAUUCGAUGCCGAACCUUAUCAAAUCAAGUCCGAUUGACCUGAAAUUUCACACACAAGUCAUAAUUGAUAUUACAGACUUAUUCCAACUUCCGGAAUCGAAAUAUGACCCCGAUAUCAAAAGUUCACUCCCGGUCAAACUUCCCAAAAUUCCACCAAUUUCAAACAUUCGCCAAUUAAUGCUGAAAUGAUCUACGGACCUCCAAAUCAACAUUCGGAUAUGCUCAUAAGACCAAAAUCACCCUAUGAAGCUAUUGGAACUGUCAACACUCCAUUCCGGAGUCGUCUUCGCACAAGUCAAACUACGGUCAACUCCUACGACUUAAACUUCCAAUUUAGUGAUUAUGUGUCUCAUUUCACUCCGAAACUCUCCCGAACCCGACACCAAGUGCCCCGGCAAGUCACAUAACUAUAAAAUAAAAUAGAGAAAGCAAUAAUUAGGGAAUCAGUACUAAUACUCUCCAAACGACCGGCCAAGUCAUUACACUUGCUAUAUUGUAUGCUAAAUAAUUAUUUCGAAGUGUGUAUGGGUUGUUGAAUAUAUCUUAUGACGUGGUUAAUUAAUUUGGGACUUGUGUAUACCUAACUAAUUAAAUUGGUCAUGUCCAUAAAAAUAAAAACAUGUCAUCUUCUUUCAAAUAAUAAAACAAAUAAUCUGGUCUUUGUCUUAAAAUCAUAUGAUCACCUUUUUGAACUACUUUAUAAGAAGAUUAUUCUUUAAUUGACACACUUUGGAUAUAUAUAAUUGUAAAGAAAGUGUCAUGGAAUUAUUGUACUUUCGUUGAGAGACUUAGGCGUUGUAGUCAUUUGGGUUUCGUUUGAAUAAGUUGCGUUGCAAGACCAUGACUCUAAAGGUGACAUUUGGUUAUUCAUUGAAGUGACAACUCAUUUUGAUGCGAUGAUUUUCUAUAUCAUAAACGUGUUGGCAUAUUUUUUAUAUACCACAUUCAUUUUUUAUUUAUCAAAUUCAUUCUUUGCCUUAUUUGUUGUAGACUAAAGUUGUUCAAAUAUUGUUCAUUUCUACCUUGUCCGAAUCAUUUAUAGUGAAUUUCUAUUUUUUAUAUUUAGCUUUUCGCUCAAAUGGUUAGUCUUUUGUACAUAAAUUAAAUUCUUUUAAAGUGUAUUCUCUAAUUUAUAUUCAUCUGAUCAACUCUCAAAUAUUUCAUUCAUCACUACAUGUUAUCUUACAUUUUUUCUUUCUUUAACAACCUCUUAUAGUUAUUUAUUCAUAUUAAACAAAAUUCUUUCAUAUUCCAUUCAUUAAAUUAAAGUGCAAGAUAUAGUGUUCGUACAUCCUUUAAUCUUGUCUUGAAUUGUUGAUUAUCCUUUUUUAUUAAUUUUGUGCUUUAGUCAAAUCAUAUAUUGUUCCUUUCUUACAAAACCUAUUCUUUAAAAAAAUACCAAAUUCUUCUCUUUGUGUCUGGUGCACCAAUUUACAAAAAAUAUAAACUAUUUCAUAUAUUUUGUUCAUUUACUUUUACUACAAGUGCACGUAAAUAUAAAUAUUUUAUUAUUCGCUUGUCUAAAUUAAUUGUCCUUUCUUUAAUGUAUUUUUGUGAAAAUAUUAAGUUAAUUCCUUUCUUACCCUAUUCAUUACAUAAAAAAUAUUCAAAAUAAUUCUCUCCUCCUCUUAGCCAAUCACUUUAAAGGUAAGUUUUCUUUUUCUUACACUUUAGCCUCUCACUCAAUUUACCCUUAGACAUAACAUGCAUUCUUUAAGUGCAAUUUCUUUCAUAUUAUUCGACUUAUACUGAAAUACCAUUCUUUAAUAUCCUUUUUAUACCUUCACAUACUACAUAUUAUUGCAUAUAUAUAUUUUGUCAAAUAUUUUACUAUUCUUUAUCUAGAACUCACUUUGCACUCAACUUAUCUUUUGAAAUACGAUUCCCUUGUCUACUUUACUUAUAUUUCAUACGAGUCAAUAUAUUUUAAUCAUUUUAUUUCAAAAAUACCAAAACUAUUUGCACACUUCAUCCGCACAUAAUUCAUUCCAUAUUUAAUAUCAUCACUAUUCAUUCUAAUAGACAUUGACCAUUCUUUUAUCCUUUGUAAAAGUUGUGAGUAUUUGUUAAUCAUUUUUUGAACUUUCCCUCCCUUAUUUGCCGAGUCCGCAGGAACCACUUUUUUGUGGAUCUUGAGGGAUGUCUAACACCUUUCCCUCGAGAUAACUUGAACCCUUACAUAGAAUCUCAACGGUUUUGCAGACCAUAAUCAAAUGUACAUUAUAUAGUGUAAUAUAGGUGUCCUAGUAGUGGCGACUCUAAACUUUAAUUAAUCCUGUAGAGUACUAUAAGUUGUAGUUUGUUUGGUCUUAUGCAAAAUAGGGUGCAACAAUGGUGAGUGCAGUUCUGAUCCGAAAGAGGAAGGUACGCAAUUUCUUAUUUAUUAUGUUAGUAAUAUUUUAUCGGGAGCGAAGACACGCUAUCCGCACCUCGAAAAGUUGGCCCUAGCUCUCGUAGUCGCCUCUCGAAAGCUUAGGAAUUAUUUUCAUUGUCAUCCCAUAGCUGUCGUGAUGACUUUUCCCUUGAGGAAAGUCCUUCAUAAGCCUGAACUAUUGGGUCGAUUGGCUGAAUGGGCAGUCGAAGUAGUGAAUUCGACAUUGAAUAUAAACUCAGGACUGCAAUCAAGUCACAAGUUUUUUCCGACUUUAUGGUUGAUUUUAGUCCCGGUAUGAUGCCUUUAGCUUCUAAGGAAGCGGUUUUAUUAUCAAAAAUUGUUUCUUGUGUAUAGACAUUGUUUAGAGAUGGGUCCUCCAACGUAAAAGGAUCCAUUCUCGGGAUAGAGUUAAUCACUCUGUCGGGAGAGACCCUGAGACAAGACUUUAGAACUGUACCUUUGACUAACAUUGAAGCCGAGUAUGAGGCUUUGGUUGCAGGACUUGAAUUAGCCGGGGGACUAGGCUCCGAGGCGAUUGAAGUAAAAUGCAAUUUCCAGCUGGUAGUAAACCCGGUAUACAAAAUCUUUGAUGCCAAAGAAGAUCGCAUGCAACAAUACUUGAAUAAGGUACAAGUUCUGAUUUCCUGGUUCAAGGAAUGGUCGGUUAUUCAUAUCCCAAGGGAAAAGAACAUAGAGGCGGACGCAUUGGUCAAUUUAGGAUCAUCUACGGAAAUGAAAGGAGUUGAUUCUGGUGUAGUUGUUCAGCUACUGCAUUCGUUACUAGACGUGAAUAGGUAUUGCGAAGUUAACUUAACUAACCUUAUUUGGGAUUGAAGAAAUAAAUUUAUAGAGUAUCUAAGGCAUGGAAAAUUGCCUGAAGAUCCUAAAGCUUCCCCGGCGCUACAAACUAAAGUUGCUCGCUAUUGUUUGUUGACGGUUAAUUAUACUGAAGGUCAUUUCAAGGACUAUUGGCUCAAUGUUUAGGGACACCGAAAACUCGCUAUGUGAUGAUAGAAGUUCAUGAGAAGUGUGCAUAAAUCAUUCUGGUGCGGACUCGUUUGUUCUCAAAUUGAUAAGGGAUGGCUACUAUUGGCCCCGAAUGGAACAAGACACGAAGGCAUUUGUACAAAAAUAUAAUAAGUGUCAGCGUCAUACGUAGUUAGUGCAUCAACCGACAGAGUGUUUUCAUUUGGUGGUAUUGCCGUGGCCAUUAAUGAAAUGGGUAAUAGACAUAGUUGGUCCCUUACCACAAGGGCUUGGGCAGGUAAAAUUUCUUUUGGUUUUAAUGGAUUAUUUCACUAAAUGGGUUGAAAACGUGCUUACAAGAAGAUUGGAGAGCGAGAAGUGAUUGAUUUCUUAAGGAAUCACAUAAUUUGUCAUUUUGGAGUACCAAAAGAAAUUGCUUGUGACAAUGGGACACAAUUUAUAGGUUCCAAAGUCACAAAGUUUUUGGAAGGACUGAAGAUCAAAAGGAUUACAUUUUCUCCAUACCGUCCAAGUGUUAACGGACAAGUGGAGUCGACCAACAAGGUUAUAAUUCAAAACCUCAAAAAGAAAUUAGAGGAUGAAAAAAGUAGUUGGCCAGAAGAGCUUCCAGGAGUACUAUGGGCAUAUCGAACAACAGUGAAGUCCAGCACGGGAGAAACACAAUUUUUGCUUGUGUACUAUGCGGAAGCUUUGAUCCCGGUGGAGAUUGGGGAACCGACUAUAAGGUAUUCCCAAGCAAACGAGGAGGCAAAUGAUGAAGCAAUGUUGAUUAAGUUGGAUUUGCUCGAAGAACAUCGAAAUUUAGCGUAUGUGACGAUGGUAGCACAAAAGCAAAGAAUGGAAAAGAUAUUACAACCGCAGAGCAAAUCUUCGAUAUUUCAAAGUCGAAGAUUUGGUUUUGAGAAAGGUAACUCAAAGUACUCGAGAGGUUAAUGUCGGGAAGCUAGGACCAACGUGGGAAAGACCUUAUAGAGUUUCAACUAUAACCGGUAAAUGUUCAAAUCAUAUGGAAAAUCAAGAUGGAGCUAAAUUGCCAAGCAAUUGGAACGUGACUCACCUCAAAGGUAUUAUUGCAGAAGAUCAUUACUGAUACUAAAAGUAUGUGCUACACUUUUUUCCCUUCGUUCAAUUUUUGUCCCAAUUGGCUUUUUCUAGCAAGGUUUUUAAUAAGGCAGCAAUUUAUGAUACUACGAAAAAAUGGUCAUCGGCAAUAGCAAGAACUCCAUUGUUCGAAAUCUCAUACUUAGCAUCCAAACACUUGGAGGGAACUAUUGUUUAUUAGAGCACUAAAAGUGUCAUAAAGACCGGGGACUGUUGGAACCGGGAGUUAUAUUUUAUCAGGACUGGGGACUGCACAAUCAACCCCAUAGAAAUAAGUUUUACAAGUUAGCCUCAUAUAUUGGCAGCUACAUUUAAUUAAGCAAAUGAUGUUUAUGUAAAGGAAAAAUAUAUAAACGGCACCUUUAAGUUGUCCCCGACAAUCAGUUGGACACCUUAAUUGAUCCUAUAUUCAGCUAGACACUUCAUUAAUUCAUAAAAGUGUGUCUUUUAAACACUCAAGUCCAAUAAACCGCAUGCGUGAGUUACAAUCGCGGGUGACGUGUGUCACGACCCAAACCGUAGCGCCGCAACGGGCACCUGAUACCUAACUCAACCGAGUACCAACGUAACGUAUCCUUCUUAUCAUACUAUCAUGGGUAAAUGAACCAGAAAGGCCGUCAUGAGAUAACUAGAAUUAAACAUAAAAGAAUACUCGACAUGGGAUGACCCAACAUGAUAUAGAAGCUUAUGCAUGCGACAUACGGGCCUAUAAGGCCGACAUGAUCAUUUGUAUUCUCAAAACAUAGGCCAUAAAAGCCUUACAAGUAACCAUAUACAUGACAUCUGUCUACAAGCCUCUACGAGUACCUAAAUGUCAUAAAGUUCGAGAUAUGGCCCCGCCAUACCAAUCAAUACAUGUCCAAAUCAUACUGACCAGAUAGGAAACUCCGAAGCAAGUGGAGUGCACCAACACCUUCCGCUGAGCUGAUAGCCUACUAGGAGGACUCUCAACCUAUCUAUCGGGACCUGCGGGUAUGAAACGUAGCGUCCCCGGGCAAAAGGGACGUCAGUACAAAUAAAGUACCGAGUAUGUAAGGCAUGAAAGCAGUAUAUAAAAGACAUGAAAGAAACGUGGAGUAAAGAACUUAACCUGUAAGUCUGAAUAGCUCUGUGAAUCAUGAAACAUUUAUAAUAUCAUGCAUAUGCGUAUAAAUAUCACACCAUGCAUAGGUAUGUGCAUACAUAACAUCAUUAAGCCUCUGAGGGCAUCCCAUCAUAUUAUCUCGGCUUCUGUGGGCGAAAUCAUCAUCGUAGACCAGCUGAUCAGGUAGUGGUGCGUAUAUAACGCCAUAACCUUUCCCCAUACCCCAUAUACAUUUACUAUAUGCGUAUAUAAUGCCAUCUGGCCAUGGGUCAAUAUACAUGUAUAAAUGAAUGCAAUGCAUAAUAAAGUAAGUCAGUAAGAUUUUUCGGAAUGUCAUAAGAUCAAUAUGCCUUCGGAUAAACAUUAGCAACUUACGUAUUUUUCUGAUACCCAUGAACAAAAGAUAUAAUAAUAGGACACAUGGGGAAUCAAGAACAUAUGCACGCCUAGCACUUCUAUGAAUAGAGUCAUUUAUGAAAGUUCCGCGUUUGCACGUUUCGUUUGUAUUAUAUGGAUGAUGCCAAAAGAAAAAAAUGGAUAGACUUAACAUACCUUAACUCCAUUGAGUCCUUAAUACCUUCCAAGUAAUUCUUCAAACAACUCAAGUCAAUCUACCAUAGCAUAAGGAGAUUCAAAAUCAGUAUUGAGUAAAGGCUAAGUUCGUAACUUAAACUAGUAGCUCAUUUAUGUAAAUUUGGGCAGCAUCUACCCUGUAACAAGAGCCUCCUCCAAUACCAUAUACCAACAACAAUGACCAGAGAAAUCCAUCAAUACAUAAUUAUCAAUAACUAGACACCAUAUAACAACAACAAGUCACAACUACUUCACGAUGAGCUACAAGCCCAAUUGAAAUAUGUANNNNNNNNNNNNNNNNNNNNNAACUUUAUUCACUAGUUCAUGUCUAGUCCAUCCAUUUAACUUAAUCAAUGUCAAGAUAACCUUAAGCACAUGCAAGAACACAAUAUACAUACCUCCUAAAGUAGCUUCAAAUCGAAAUUCAAGUUAUAUUUAGCUUACAACAGCCAUCAAUGGCAAUACAACACCAUAGAAGUGACUUAAGCUAAUCUUCACUUCCAACCUCAAGUUUCAUAUGCUUCCUUCACCAAUUCACUUGAUAAACAUAUAGACAUGCAUAAAAAUAGAAACCAUAUAAUAAUCAAGUUAUUUUCCCCAUUUUCCAUCCAUUUAUAGUUCAUGGAAACAACCUUUCCAAAACAGUCCAUUAAAACCCAUAACAUCUCAAACUAUUUUAGGUCUCCUCUUGUAGUAUUUUGCUCAAAUAAUGCAACCAACACACAAAAAACCUCAAGUACAUGUAGUAGGAUUUUAUACUCACCUUAAACAGUAGAAACAACAUUAAAUUUCAGCCAAGCACAGCCCACAACUAUCCUCAAUAACACCAUAACAUUAUAGGUGUUGUAUUCUCUUCUUGAAUCAACUUUUGGUGUUCAAGUUGGUGUGUAAACACUGGUAGUUCGCCUUUAAAAUAUAAUAUAUAUGAAAGAGGGACUGAUUAUUACCUUAGUAAACAAGAACAGCAUGAAAUAUUAGGUUACUUACCUUUGAAGAACCCUCCAAAACAGCCACAAGAUGAAGAACUAUUAUCUAGCAAGCACCACGGGAUUUCUAGCAUUGGAUUCAUGUUUUCAUCUUAGGUUCUCACCCUAGAAUCAUGGAGGAACCAUUGGAGAGCAUUUAAGAGGAUUUAGAAACGGUUUUGGACCAGAAAAAUGAGUUAAAACCACGGAGAAUUGACUUUAAUACAAGCUGGAAUUUUUUCCUGACUUUUUGGGUCCCAUGGGUGCUGCUUGCGUAGUCUCGCAAAAACGUGAAUAUCUCUCUACUCUGAGAUCAUAUCGAUGAACGGUUAAAUACGUUAGAAACGAGACUCAAAGACCUUAAAUGUGGUAUAUAAUAUGUCCCAAAGAGACAUCAUAAAGCUUACAAAAUGCAUUUCUCAAAAAGCUUCAUUACAAGGCAAAUCCUUAGUCGAUUUUUCCGACACUUAAAACCGAUUUUUCCCAAACUUUAUAUUUCAUAUCCAAACAUCAUAUAUAGUCAUAUCAUAACUUUAAACUCAUUUAAAUCAUGAUUAAUAAGUUUCAUAUUCAUCUUAACUUACUUAAGACUUAGGUAAACCUUUCUUAUCCUUAUAGAAGGAUUUCGUCGUUUUUGAGCUUAUAUUAGAUAAUCCUAUAAUGACAGUGAGGUAUGAAGUACGGGGUGUAACAACAUGUCCCCUUAGAAACAUUUGUCCCCGAAUGAUAACUCUUAAAGGCUUGCAAAAGUGGGACGUAACAUCAUUAAAUCACUUUAUAUACUUUCAAAGAGGAUCUCAUUUUCAAGCUUACAUCAAUUGACUUACAAUGUACUUUCAUGUACAAAAAUAUGGGGUGUAACAUCAUUCUCCCCUUUGGAACAUUUGUCCUUGAAUGUUGACUGAUGCGUUUAUCAUUCUCAUAACCUAUGGCUCUUAUGAAUACUUUAAUAUUGUCCUUUGCUAUCUAGGCAACUGUUCUAUGAAUAAAUACAAAGGCCAAGGCAUUUCCUCCUUUAGGCCUCUUUCGCACACCACGACUUUUGAUCGGAAUUCUUCCAAUCUCUUAACUGUUGCUUCCUUCUGUCAUGCAGCCUGUACGACUUUGUCCUUUUAUGUGCGCCUAUGUGACUCUUCUCUCCUUUUUCGUCCAGCUUUUAGCCAAUCUCUAGGCCUCACUUUGUGAACAUAUACAGAACUAUGACAAGUUGUCCCUCUAGGCAUUUAUAGGUAUACUGAAGUUCUUCGCUUGGUACUUUGUUGAAUGUACCACUGUUGCUAUAUUUUGUUUUCUAGCCUUGGUUAUCUGUUCAUAUGGCUUUAGUGCAUCUAGGUAGGUCAUACCGUACUAUAACACUUACUUUGAUUUAUUAUUACUGAGGUCUGCUACCCAACUUCAGGUUACUCUCUCACUGCAUAUCCCAUAUGUAUAAAUCUAAGUCCUUUAAUGCUUCCUUAUUACUGUUCAUCUAAAGAAUGGCAUCAUAACCUCCUCUUAUACUUUGGAAUUUUUAUCCAUCUAUUGUUGACUCACCUUAAUGUCGAUCUAUAUCUACCACUGAUAACUUGAGACCUCUUACGUAAUACAUUGUCACUAGGGCUCAUGUCUCAUCGGGGAACAUCUGAAGUGAUUUUCCUGAUCCACCUAGGGGUAAUACUAUACUUCAAUAAGUGUAUUUCAUAGCAUCCCGGCGUGAUUCAUCUUAUAUGGGUAUUCUAAUCCCAUACAAUUCAUGAAAUCCUUUUUCUUAAAAUCAUUACUCAUUCAAAAUCCUAAACGUCAUCCUCUUAUCUAUCACCAUUACACCAUUAUUCUACUACCAGGGCAACAUUUCAUCUCUUCUAAUUGCUCAUAUUCUUAGACUCCUCUAGGUUCCUUUAGAUUGUACCGAGCUUUCUAUAACUUAUGGAAAUCAUUAGCUCUCUUGUUUUGAUAGGCUUAAUCUUGAGGCCUUACCUGUUCUCGUUACCUUUUCACUUACCUUUUCAUAACCUUACUCUUGUCGCUCUAUCAUACUUUAGCUUGCGACCUACACAUAUCUAUUCAUACUACUCGCAACUUUCUUUAACUUGCUAGCACCAUAGAUUUCCUUUCGUGCCUUCUCAGUUGCCUUUAAACAUAAGUAAUUACUUUUCCUGGUCGUUCUGCCACUUGUUGCAUGAAUACAUGGCUUAUCUCAUUGCCCAUGAAUACUGGAAUUUCCUUUAACUCAUAUGAUCUCAAAUAUCACCUUUUUGAUUUUUUUCUUCCCGUUCAUUAGCCACGAUGGUGCCACUUUCUUAUAUAGUGUAUACAAUUUUGUAGUGAGACUAUUGUUACAACACCAUUUCCUCUUUAUGUCACUAUGCUUAGGUUGAAGUCUUUUUCCUUAUUUCCCCAGCUAGUCUUUCGGGGUAGUACAUAGUGGAGACCCUCUGACUCAUGUAAAGCUACGAGCUUAUUACAUCGCAUACCCGAAGGAAUCUUUGAUGUUCUUACUCGCCUAUAAUUAUCCUAAGUUACAUACCUCCGUGCCCUUGUGCUCGUAGGGUUGCUUCUGAACUGAACUUUUGAAUGUCUCCCCAGUUGCACUCUCUUUUAUUUCUGGAACACUUAUACAGUACCUUUAACUACCCCAACUCCUCUCUGAAAGUUCUUCAACAAUUACGAUCUCUUAUCUGCGAGACUGGAUUCCCUAUGUGGGGGUUCACUAUGCUUAUCUUGCACGAUCUGUUGAUUUAUUUGUAUCCUUUUUUCUGGCUAUAACUAAGACUCUUCCCGAAUCCACUACAGACUACUCGUUGCUCCAUUCUCAUAGCUAUAUUCUGUGUAACCCCUCUUGGGUUAUGUCCUUUGUCUUAAUUUACCUGUCGUACUGGCUCCUUAUGUAUCGAGUGUUCAUUCCAACUUAUUUAUCAGUAUCGUCUGGUGUGGAACGCUUACUGCCUCUCCCCGACAUCAUGCUUGUAUAAUGUUCUAGAGUUGUAUCAUAUUUGUAGGAUCUGAAUAAAUACAAUCUCAUUCCUUUCACCUUUUCACCGCAUUCUUUCUUUACUAUUCCAUAGUUACCUCUUCAUCUUUGGCAUCUUUUCACAUCUUUACUGACAUCUUUCCCACCUUGCGGUAACCCUUCUAUACCAAGGAUAACUAAAGUUCUUACACACGAGGGUGACACCUAGUGUAACUGGCACACUUAGUCCCUCAAGCUUAACUUUGCUCACAAAGCUCGCUUUAGGGAAGCGUCUUCCUGAAUGACCUUUAAUGGUUAUUCUUCUGUUGUCCAUUCUAUUAUCGCCGGAAUGUGAUCUCUAAAAUUCUCAUGAUGCCGGCUAUUGUCAAAUCAUUCGGUCCUUAAUUCAUAUUCAUUUUAUCUUGUUCACCGGCUCGUACUAAUUUCUAUUACUCCGGGGUCUAACGUUUCCUUCUGGUAAUCACGUUAUUUCUCGAAAGAAGGAUAUGACUUUAUGGAUUAUACUCUUCUAUUGUUUCAAGGCAUGUCUCCUCUUGUAUUUUCCGUCACUUGACCAUAGACUUUGUCAUCGUGUCAUAUUUUGAUUUACCGUUAUCACCCAUAUAUCACAUCUUACUCAUGAUGCUUCAUUUACUCUCUUCUUAUUCUCCAGAUAAUAUUUUUGUCUAUCACUUUAUUCUGAAAACUUCAGCAAAACAUUCUUUCACUUUUAGCUCCCCUUGCUUCAUCUCACUUGCUUAGGAAUGCCUAACAUUCUCCUUUUUACAACUCGGGGCUCGAGUCAUACUAAGGUAAAUAUUUAUCCCUUCUAGGAUUCCACUGCCUAUCUUCUGAAAUUUCUAAACAUUCUAGUAUUCAUAUCUGACUGUACUAUUCUAGAGUUCGCCAUCUGGGUGUCUCACAAGGAGAUCUAUUACCACAUUUGCACUAUCUUCGAAAAUGUUAGCUAAUGAUAAAAAUCCAUCCACCAUUUUUGGGUUACUCUAACCCCAACUGGAUCCUGAUUUCCUAUCUUUCUCUUAAACUAUAUAUGUUGGCUCCCAUAGGGCAUAAUUAAGAUGAGUGUGGCCAAUUGUAUAUAACUCUAUUACUAUUGAAAGUAACUCAUAAUGCUUGUAUUUCUCUGUCUGAAUUGCAAAUACUGAUAAUCUUCAUUAACUAGGUACCGCGUGCCCUUCUUCAUCUUGCUUCUUUUACUUGCCGAAACUUAUAUCUACCUUCUGAUUCUCUUAUUUCUUUUUACCAUAUGGGUGGAUAGAUAUUCUUGCCUUAGGACUCCUUAUCAAGAAGCUUACACAUCUUAGUACACAUAUGAUCUGCUGAAGACCUCACAUUUACUCAUCAUAAGCAUGAUACAAAAUCGAGUUCCUCUGAUUCAACUCUUCCACAGCCACAUUCAAUCCCUUACCAACUGUCUUUCUGGAUGUAAGUAUCGUUGUAUUACAAAUAAAAUAAAAUUUAGGAGUCUGAAUUCUUACAACUGAGCUCUACCACACGAUCUAGAGUAAAAAUAAAGAGUGAUAGUCCUAAAUGCCAUGUAGCCUCCUGCUUAUAAGUGUGGUGCACCAUACACCCAUAAACAAGACUCUACUAGACACGUCUUGUAGACUCCCUAGGACAGAACUGCUCUGAUAGCACUUUUGUCAUGACCCAAACUGUAGUGCCGCGACGGGCACCCGGUGCCUAACUCAACCAAGUACCAACGUAACGUAUCCUUCUUAUCAUACUAUCAUGAGUAAAUGAACCAGAAAGGUCAUCAUGAGAUAACUAGAAUUAAACAUAAGAUAAUACUUAACAUGGGAUGACCCAACAUGAUAUAGACGCUUAUGCAUGCGACAUACCGGCCUAUAAGGCCGACAUGAUCAUUUGUAUACUCAAAAUAUAGGCCGACAAGGCCUUACAAGUAUCCAUAUACAUGACAUCUAUAUACAAGCCUCUACGAGUACAUAAAUGUCAUAAAGUUCGAGAUAUGGCCCUGUCAUACCAAUCAAUACAUGUCCAAAUCAUACUAACCAGAUAGGCAACUCUGGAGCAAGUGGAGUACACCAACACCUUCCACUGAGCUGAUAGCCUACUAGGAGGACUCUCAACCUGUUUAUCGGGACCUGCAGGCAUGAAACGCAGUGUCCCCAGGCAAAAGGGAUGUCAGUACAAAUAAAGUACUCAGUAUGUAAGACAUGAAAGCAGUAUAUAAAAGACAUGGAGUAAAGAACUUAACCUGUAAGUCUGAAUAGCUCUGUGAAUUAUGAAACAUUUAUAAUGUCAUGCAUAUGCAUAAAAAUAUCACAUCAUGCAUAGGUAUGUGCGUACAUAACAUCACUAAGCCUCUAAGGGCAUCUCGUCAUAUCAUCUCAGCCUCUGUGGGCGAAAUCAUCAUCGUAGACCAGCUGAUCAGGUAGUGGUACGUAUAUAACGCCAUAACCUUUCCCCAUACCCCAUAUACAUAUACUAUAUACGAAUAUAACGUCAUCUGGUCAUGGGUUAAUAUAUAUGUAUAAAUGAAUGCAAUGUAUAAUGAAGUAAGACAGUAAGAUUUCUGGGAAUGUCAUAAGAUCAAUAUGCCUUCGGAUAAACUUUAGCAACUUACGUAUUUUUUUUAUACCCAUGAACAGAAGAUAUAAUAAGACACAUGGGGAAUCAAGAACAUAGGCACCCUUAGUACUUCUAUGAAUAGAGUCAUUUAUGAAAGUUCUGCGUUUGCACGUUUCGUUUGUAUCAUAUGGAUCAUUCCAAAAGGAAAGAAUGGAUGGCCUUAACAUACCUUAACUCCAUUGAGUCCUUAAUACCUUCCAAGCUAUUCUUCAAACAACUCAACUCAAUCUACCAUAGCAUAAGGAGAUUCAAUAUCAGUGUUGAGUAAAGGCUAAGUCCGUAACUUAAACUAGUAGCUCGUUUAUGUAAAUUUGGGCAGCAUCUCCCCUGUAACAAGAGCCUCCUCCAAUACCAUAUACCAACAACAAUGACCAGAGAAAUCCAUAAAUAUAUAAUUAUCAAUAACAAGACACCAUAUAACAACAACAAAUCACAACCACUUCACGACGAGCUACAAGAACAAUUGGAAUCCGUAUACCCCAUAUCACCCCUGAUAGACUUCUNNNNNNNNNNNNNNNNNNNNNNUUAACAUGAUAAUGAAGUCAUUCAUCAAUGAUUCCAGCCUUAUAUCAUAUAUUUAUAAUGAAGAAAAUAAUCCACAACUCCAAUUAUCCUCAAUUAGCAACUUUAUUCACUAGGUCAUGUCUAGUCCAUCCAUUUAACUUAAUCAAUGUCAAGAUAACCUUAAGCACAUGAAAUAACACAAUAUACAUACCUCCUACAGUAGCUUCAAUUCGAAAUCCAAGUUAUAUUUAGCUUACAAUAGCCCUCAGUGGCAAUACAACACCAUAGAAGUGACUUAAGUUAAUCUUCACUUCCAACCUCAAGUUUCGUAUGCUUCCUUCACCAAUUCACUUGAUAAACAUAUAGACAUGCAUAAAAAUAGAAACCAUAUAAUAAUCAAGUUAUUUUUCCCAUUUUUCAUACAUUUAUAGUUCAUGGAAAUAACCUUUCCAAAACAGUCCAUUAAAACCCAUAACAUCUCAAACUAUUUCAGGUCUCCUCUUGUAGUAUUUUGCUCAAAUAAUGCAACCAACACACAAAAAACUUCAAGUACAUGUAGUAGGAUUUUAUACUCACCUUAAACAGUAGAAACAACAUUAAAUUUCAGCCAAGCACAGCCCACAACUAUCCUCAAUAACACCAUAACAUUAUAGGUGUUGUAUUCUCUUCUUGAAUCAACUUUUGGUGUUCAAGUUGGUGUGUAAACACUUGUAGUUCGCCUUUAAAAUCUAAUAUAUAUGAAGGAGGGACUGAUUAUUACCUUAAUAAACAAGAAUAACACGAAAUCUGAGGUUACUUACCUAUAAAGAACCCUCCAAAACAGCCACAUGACGAAGAACUACGAUCUGGCAAGCACCACGGGAUUUCUAGCAUUGGAUUCAUGUUUUCAUCUUAGGUUCUCACCCUAGAAUCAUGGAGGAACCAUUGGAGAGCAUUUGGGAACUGUUUUGGACUAGAAAAAGGAGUUAAAACGACGGAGAAGUGACUUUAAUACAAGCUGGAAGUUUUCCCCGACUUUGUGGGUCCCAUGGGUGCGCAGUCUCGCAAAAAUGCGAAUAUCUCUCUACUCCUAUAUCAUAUCAACGAACGGUUAAAUGUGUUAUAAACGAGACUCAAAGACCUUCAAUUUUGUAUAUAAUAUGUCCCAAAAAGAAAAAAAAAAUCUUACGAAAUAUAUUGCUCAAAAAGCUUCAUUACAAGGCAAAUCCUUAGUCGGUUUUUUCGCAACUUAAAUCCGAUUUUCCCAAACUUUAUAUUUCAUAUCCAAACAUCAUACAUCUUCAUAUCAUGACUUUAAACUCAUUUAAAUUAUGAUUAAUAAGUCUCAUAUUCGUCUUAACUUACUUAAGACUUCGGUAAACCUUUCUUAUCCUUGUAGAAGGAUUUCGUCCUUUUUGAGAUUACAUUAGAUAAUCCUAUAAUGACAGUGACGUCUGAAGUAGGGUGUGUAACAAAAUGUCCCCUUAGAAACAUUUUUCCCCAAAUGAUAACUCUUAAAGGCUUGCAAAAAUGGGACGUAACAUCACUAAAUCUCUUUAUAUACUUUCAAAGAGGAUCUCAUUUUCAAGCUUACAUCAAUUGACUUACGACGUACUUUCACGUACAAAAAUAUGGAUUGUAACAACGUGCAAAACAGACCAAUCAUUAAAUAACACAUGGAGUUUUAAAAUAAAUAGUCUUAUUAAAAAACAAAAAAUAAAUCUUCUUCUUUCCAACAGUUGCCGCUGGAUCUCUGCCAACGUGGCUAUCCCAAAACCACCAUGAAACCUCUUUGAGUCACUCUCUCUAGGCACCGUAAAAUAUUGUGUAACGACCCGGUCGGUCGUGUCAUUUUUAGAGUUAUAGCCCCGAUCUCCUAUUAAUUGCUUCUCCCAUAUUGUUUUCUGCUAUUGUGACUUGCCGGGAGGUUUUCUUUUGGUUUUUGGAGUAUUUUGGGAUACUUAGUCCCUAAACGGAUGUUUAAGCCUUAGGAUUUGGACCGUAGUUGGAACUAUGUGAAGACGACUCUGAAAUGGAGUUCUGUUGGUUCCGUUAGCUCUGUUAGGUUAUUUUGGACUUAGGGGCAUGUCCGGAUAGUGUUUUGGAGGUCUGUAGCUCAUUUAGGCUCGAAAUGGCAAAAGUCGAGGUUUUGGAGAUUUUUCCCGGUAGUGGACUUUUUGAUAUCUGGGUAGGAUUCCGAUUCCAGAAGUUGGAGUAGGUCCGUAAGGCUAAUUAUAACUUGUGUGCAAAAUUGGGAUCAGUCAGACGUGGUUUGAUAGGUUUCGGCAUUGGUUGUCGAAUUUGGAAGUUUCAAGUUCUUUAAGUUUGAAUCGGAGGAUAAUUCGUGAUUUUAGCGUUGUUUGAUGUGGUUUGAGGGCUCGUAUAAGUUCGUAUGGUAUUUUAGAACUUGCUGGUAUGUUUGAUUGAGGUCCUGGGGGCCUCGGGUUGAUUUCGGAUGGUUAACGGACCUUUUGAACUUAAGAGAAGAUAGCAGAUUUCUGGUGUUUUUGUUGUAGGCAUUUCUUCAUCGCGUUCGCGAGAGAGGUCUCGCGAUCGCGUAGGGCAUCUGGAGGCCAGCUUGAGUUUGUUCUUCAUGUUUGUGCAAAGGAGCCUGCGUUCACGAAGUUAUGGUCAGUGGAAGCAUCGCGAACACGAAGAGUGGAACGCGUUCGCGUAGAGGAAGUGAGACAGCUGGGGACCCCAGUCAUUUGGUCUACGCGUUCACGUAGUGGGUAUCGCGUUCGCGAAGGACUAGAACGUGAAAGGUACGCGUUCGCGAGAGGUCCCUCGCAUUCGCGAAAGAGGAAAUUUGGUCCGUGGAAUUUUUGUUAUACGCGAACGCGAGAUAGUGGCCGCGUUCGCGAAGAAGGGAACACCUAGGCAGAUUUAAAAGUUCAAAAUCGAGGGUUUAUGUCGUUUUUCACCAUUUGGACUUGAGAGCUCGGAAUUAGGCGAUUCUUGGAUGGAUUUUCACGUGAGUGUUUGGGGUAAGUGAUUCUUACCUAGUUUUGGUUAAUUCCCAUGAUUAUGUCUUUAAUUUUAUCAUUAAAUUAGUGAUUUGGGUUGGAAAAUUUGAGAAAGGUUCUUAGGCCGAAUUUUGGGAUUUUGAUCGAGAUUUUGGUAUCGGAUUUGAGUAAUUUUGGUAUGAGUGAACUCAUGAGUGAAUGGGUGUUCAUAUUUUGUGAUUUUUACCCAAUUCUGAGAUGUGGGCCCGGGGAGGCUUUUUGGGGUGAAUUAAUUUCUUGCUUUAGCUUUGAUUUCAGUACCUAGAUUAGUUCCUUGUAGUUAUAUUUAUGAUAUGUAAUUGAUUUUUGCUAGAUUUGGGCCAUUCGGAGUCGGGUUUUCGUGGAAAGAGCAUUGUUACGGAUUGAUUGAGCUUGGUUUGAGGUAAGUGGCUUGCCUAACCUUGUGUGGAGGAAAUUCCCUUAGGAUUUGGUACUGAUUUUACUAUGUGAGCACCGUGUACACGAGGUGACGAGUGCGUACACGGGCUAUUUGUUGAAAAACCUGAUUUUUACUGAGAAAUUCCCUGUUUCCACCUUAAUUGAAUAUACUAGCAUGCGUAGUUACCCUGUUAGCUUAGAAUAACAUGUCUACGUGCCUUAUUUUCUUAAUUGAACUCUUUGCAUCAUGCCUAUUGAAUUCCUACUUCUUUUCCGACUUGUACUUAGUCUAGACUGUAGAUUCUCUUGUUGUACUUGUCAUUUGUAAUUGAUUGCACUGUGUAUUUACUUUGGGACUAUGGGACGGUAUCCUGGGAGAUCCCCCUGCAUAUUUACUUUUGGGACUACGGGGCGGUAUCCCGGGAGAUCCCCCUGCACAUUUACUUUGAGACUAUGAGGCGGUACCUCGGGAAUUCUCCCUGCAUAUUUACAUUUAGGACUAUGAAACGGUAUCUCGGGAGAUCCCCUGUCGCUUAAUUCCGUGCACUGUUAUGUUAUUUCACUGUGAUUUCCUUUGUUGAACUUUAGUCUCUUAUUAUACUGCUUAUUCUCCUAUAUGUGUUUUAUUAUAUACUAGUGGGCCUGACCUGACCUCGUCACUACUUGACCGAGGUUAGGCUUGGCACUUACUGGGUACCGCUGUGGUGUACUCAUGCCCUUUCCUGCACAUGUUUUUUGUGUGCAGAUCCAGGUUCCUUUUACCAGCCUCGUCCUUAGUUGCAGUCGCUGCUGUUUUUGGAGAACUUCAAGGUACAUCUGCUCGCACCGCAGAUCCUCGGAGUCCCCCUCUAACCCCCCUAUGUUACUUCUUCUCUUAUUUCUAUAGACACUGAUGUAUAGAACAGUUAGAACUUCGUAGAAGCUUGUGACUUAUGGUGUUCCGGGUCUUGGGAGUGUUACGUAUAUUUUGAGAGUUGAUUAUUGAAUAUGCCGAGCGGUAUCUCAAUUUCUUAUUAAAAUAUCUGUUUACUGUAAGUUUGUUAAAUUUUCAUGUUUUUCAUUUCAUUUCCGCAAAUGUUAGGCUUACAUAGUCGUAGAGACUAGGUACGGUCACGACGAUUCAUGGAAGGAGAAUUUAGGUCUUGACAAGUUGGUAUCAGAGCUCUAGGUUCAUAGGUGUCGUGAGUCACAAGUCGGUUUAUUAGAGUCUCGCGGAUCGGUACGGAGACAUAUGUACUUAUCUUCGGGAGGCUAUGUAACUGUUAGGAACAAUCAUACUUCUUUUGAUUCCUUGUCGUGCGAGUCAUUGGCAUCAAAUUCUAAAACUUUUCUAUUCUAUUCUUUCCCACAGAUAGUGAAGACCCGUACCGGAGGAUCUAAUGACCAGGCACCCGCGCCCCCUACUAGAGCCGCUAGAGGCCGAGGCCAGGGUAGAAUACGGCCACACGGUGGAGGGCAGAGGAGCCCCCAGCAGUUCUAGCUGGAGGGCAGGCACCAGAGAUUCCUAUUGCUGCACCAGCCCUCCAGGAGACUCUAGCCCAUUUCAUGAGCAUGUUCAGCACCUUAGCUCAGGCUUGAUUGAUUCCAUUAGCUCCCGCCGCAUCUCAGGCCGGGGGAGGGGCAUAGACUCCUGCAGCCUGCACUCCUGAGCAGAGGGUCCAAGUUGAUCAGGCCCCGAAGUUCAUUCCUAUUCUGCUAGUAGCCCCAGUUCAGCAUGAGACUAGGACAACUGCUUCUGAGGUGAAGCAACUCAGACUUGAAAGGUAUAAGAAGUACCACCCGCCUACCUUCAGCGGAUUGGCUUCAAAUGAUGCUCAGGGUUUUCUGGAGGAGUGUCAUCGUAUUCUCCAUACUCUGGGCGUAGCGGAGACGAGUGGGGUUUCUUUUACCACCUUUCAGCUUAGAGGAGCAGCCUAUCAAUGGUGGCGUGCUUAUGAGUUGAGUAGUCCGGAUGAGGCAGCUUCACUUACAUGGACUCAGUUCUCGGACAUGUUUUUGAGAGAGUAUGUCCCUCUGAGCCUCAGGGACUCAUGGCGCACAGAGUUUGAGCAGCUACGCCAGGGUGCUAUGACUAUUUUAGAGUAUGCAGUCUGCUUCAGUGAUUUGACCCGACAUACACCGGCCUUGGUUGCCACAGUUCGAGAGAGGGUUUGUCGGUUUAUUGAGGGACUCCACCCUAGUAUCAAGAUUAGUAUGGUCAGGGAGCUGGAGAUGGAUAUUCCUUACCAGCAGGUUGUGAGUGUUGCUAGGAGAUUGGAGGGCAUGCUUGCCCGGGAUCGAGAGGAGAGAGAGGCCAAAAGGUCUCGAGAGACUGGUUCUUAUUCUGCAGCUCAUGCCCCAGCAGCUCGCCAUGGUAAGGGUUAUGUGAGUCGCCCCGUUCAUGCAACUCUUCCAGCCGCCAGUGUUGUUCCAGCCCCUUCUAGGCCCCAGGAGCCUUAUUAUGCACCGCCAGUAUUUAGUGUGCCUCCUGCUCGGGGUGCUUUUAGCGGCCAGUCCAGCAGACCUGGACCGAGUCACUCGCAGAAGCCAUGCCCUAUGAGGUGUUGUUUUGAGUAUGGCGACACCUUCCAUAUGGUGAGGGAUUGCCCCAGACUUAGGAGGGUUGCACCUCCACAGACUUCUCAGCCACCACAUUCUCUACCGGGUCCUCAGGCUAUGAUUCUAGCACCAGCUACCACCCCACCUGCUCACCCAGCUCGAGGUGAAGGUCGGGGAGGUCGAGGUCUCCCUAGAUGGGGAGGCCAGGCUAGGCCAGGGAUUAUGCUCUUCCGGCUCGUACAGAAGCAGUUGCUUCUUACUCUGUCAUUACAGGUAUUGUUCCAGUCUGUCAUAGAGAUGCAUCGGUAUUAUUUGACCCAGGCUCUACAUAUUCAUAUGUGUCCUCUUAUUUUGCCCCACAUUUGGGCGUAUCUCGGGAUUCUUUAAGUUCCCCUGUUUAUGUGUCUACUCCUGUGGGAGAUUCUUUUGUUGUGGACUACGUGUAUCGGUCGUGUUUGAUUGCUCUUAGUGGUUUUGAGACCAGAGUCAAUUUAUUAUUACUCAGCAUGGUGGACGUUGAUGUUAUCUUGGGCAUGGACUAGUUGUCUCCCCAUUAUGUUAUUAUUGAUUGUCACACUAAGACCGUGACGCUAGCUAUGCCAGGCUUACUGCGAUUAGAGUGGAGAGUUACCUUAGACUAUACUCCCAAACGAGUCAUUUCAUUUCUUAAAGCUCAACGAAUGGUUAAGAAGGGGUGUGAUGUGUAUCUAGCUUAUGUAAGAGAUGUCAGUAUUGAUACCCCUACAGUUGAGUCAAUUCCAAUAGUCAGUGAUUUCCCAGAUGUGUUUCCAGCUGAUCUUCCGGGCAUGCCGCCCGACAGAGAUAUUGAUUUCGGCAUUGAUUUGUUGUCGGGCACUCAGUUCAUCUCUAUUCCUUCAUACCGUAUGGCUCCUCCUGAGUUGAAGGAGUUGAAGGAGCACUUACAGGAGUUGCUUGAUAAGGGCUUCAUUCGGCCUAGUGUGUUACCUUGGGGUGCUCCGGUCUUGUUUGUAAAGAAGAAGGAUGGUUCUAUGCGUAUGUGUAUUGAUUAUCGCCAGCUGAACAAAGUUACUGUGAAGAAUAGGUAUACAUUGCCUCAUAUUGAUGACUUAUUUGAUCAGUUAUAGGGUGCAAGAGUGUUCUCCAAGACUGACUUACGUUCAGGCUAUCAUCAGUUAAAGAUUCGGGAGCUAGAUGUCCCGAAGACUACUUUCAGGACCCGAUAUGGUCACUAUGAGUUUCUUGUUAUGUCUUUUGGGCUGACCAAUGCCCCAUCAGCCUUUAUGUAUUUGAUGCACAGUGUGUUCCGACCUUAUCUUGACUCUUUCAUCAUUAUGUUUAUUGAUGACAUUCUGGUGUACUCUCGGACUCGGGAGGAUCACGAGCAACACCUGAGGACUGUGCUUCAGACUUUGAGAGAAAAGAAGAUGUAUGCAAAAAUAUUUAAGUGUGAGUUUUUGCUAGACUUAGUGGCAUUCUUGGGUGAUGUAGUAUCGGGUGAUUGGAUCAAGGUGGAUCCGAAGAAGGUGGACACAGUGCAGAGUUGGCCUACACUGUCAUCGGCUACGGAGAUCUAUAGUUUUCUUGGUUUGGCAGGGUAUUACCGUCGCUUUGUAGAGUGAUUCUCAUCUAUUGCAGCACAUAUGACCAGGAUAACCCAGAAAGGUGCUCCGUUCAGGUGGAAAGAGGAGUGUGAGAAGAGCUUUCAGAAGCUCAAGACGACUUUGACUAUAGCCCCAGUAUUAGUAUUGCCUACAGUUUUGGGGUCUUACAAUGUAUAUUGUGAUGCGUCGCGGAUUAGUCUUGGCGCGGUGUUGAUGCAGGAUGGUAGGGUGAUUGCUUACGUGUCCAGACAACUGAAGGUGCAUGAGAAGAACUAUCCUGUCCACGACCUUGAGUUAGCAGCUAUUGUUCAUGCCCUGAAGAUUAGGCGCCACUAUUUGUAUGGUGUUCCAUGUGAGAUUUACACGGAUCAUCAGAGUUUGCAGCAUCUGUUCAAGCUAAAGGAUCUUAAUUUACGUCAGCGGAGGAGGUUGGAUCUACUUAAGGACUAUGAUAUCACCAUUUUGUACCACCCGGGGAAGGCCAAUGUGGUGGCCGAUGCUUUGAGUCACCGGGCGGAGAGUUUGAGGAGUUUAGCAUACCUUCCAGCAGUAGAGUGAUCCUUAGCAUUGGAUGCUCAGGCCUUGGCCAGCCAGUUUGUGAGAUUGGAUAUUUUGAGCCGAGUCGAGUAUUGGCUUGUGUGGUCUCUCGGUCUUCUCUUUAUGAUCGUAUCAGGGGGAGUCAGUAUGAUGACCCCCACCUGCUUGUCCUUAAGGACACGAUGAUGCUAAGGAGGUCACUAUUGGGGAUGAUGGCAUAUUGAGGAUGCAGGGUAGGCUAUGUGUGCCUAAUGUAGAUGGUUUGCGUGAGUUGAUUCUUUAGGAGGCUCAUAGCUCGCGGUACUCUAUUCAUCCGGGUGCCGCAAAGAUGUAUCAGGACUUGAGGCAGCAUUACUGGUGGAGGAGGAUGAAGAGGGACAUAGUGGAGUAUGUGGCUCGGUGCCUAAAUUUCUAGCAGGUGAAGUAUGAGCAUCAGCGGCCGAGUAGGUUGCUCCAGAAGUUAGAGAUUCCGGAGUGGAAAUGGGAGCGUAUCACUAUGGAUUUCGUUGUUGGACUCCCACGGACUCAGCGGAGGUUUGAUGCAGUUAGGGUGAUUGUGGAUAGGCUGACCAAGUCAGCUCAUUUCAUUCCUGUGAUGACUACUUAUUCUUUCAAGCAGCUGGCUCGAAUUUACUUCUGCGAGAUCGUCAGGUUUCAUGGCGUACCGGUAUCUAUCAUCUCUGCCCGGGGUACGUAGUUUACAUCACGAUUCUGGAAGGUUGUAUAGCAGGAGCUGGGUACUCGGGUUGAGUUGAGACAGCAUUUCACCCUCAGACGGACAGAUAGUCCGAGCGCACUAUUCAGAUACUGGAGUAUAUGCUUCGCGCUUGUGUGAUAGAUUUUGGGGGGUGCUUGGGAUCAGUUCUUGCCACUUGCGGAGUUUGCCUACAACAACAAUUAUCAGUCGAGCAUUCAAAUGGCACCGUAUGAGGCUCUUUAUGGUAGGUGGUGUCGGUCUCCAGUGGGUUGGUUCGAGCCAGGCGAGGCCAUAUUAUUGGGUACAGACUUGGUUCAGGAUGCCCUGGAUAAGGUGAAGGUAAUUCAGGAUCGACUUCGCACAGCCCAGUCCAGACAGAAGAGCUAUGCGGACCGGAAGGUUCGCGAUGUUGCAUUCAUGGUUGGAUAGCGGGUCUUGCUCCGGGUUUCACCUAUGAAGGGCGUUAUGAGGUUUGAAAAUAAGGGCAAGCUAAGCCCAUGGUUUAUUGGCCCAUUUGAGGUGUUGCAACAUGUUUGGGAGGUUGCUUAUGAGCUUGCCUCGCCUCCUAGCCUUGCAGAGGUCCAUCCAGUAUUCCAUGUUUCUAUGCUCCGAAAGUAUCACGACGAUCCGACUCAUGUAUUGGAUUUCAGCUCAAUCUAGUUGGACAAGGAUCUAUCUUACGUUGAGGAGCCAGUGGCUAUUUUGGACAGGUAGGUCCGAAAGCUGAGAUCGAAGAAUAUUGCUUCUGUAAAGGUUCAGUGGAGGGGUCAGCCGGCCGAGGAGGCGACUUAGGAGACCGAGCAUGUUAAGCGCAGCCGUUAUCCUUAUCUUUUUACCACUUCAAGUAUGUCUUUAUGCUCGUUCGAGGACGAACAAUUAUUUUAAGAGGGGAAGGAUGUAACGACCCGACCAGUCGUUUUGAGAGUUAUAGCCCUGAUCCCCUAUUAACUACUUCUCCCAUAUCUUUUUCUGGUAUUGUGACUUGCCGGGAGGUUUUGUUUUAGUUUUUGCAGUGUUUUGGGACACUUAGUCCCUAAAGGGAGGUUUAAGCCUUAGGAUUUGGACCGUAGUUGGAACUGUGUGAAGACGACUCCGGAAUGAAGUUCUGUCGAUUCUGUUAGCUCCGUUUUGUGAUUUUGGACUUAGGGGCGUGUCUGGAUAGUGUUUUGGAGGUCUGUAGCUCAUUUAGGCUUAGAAUGUCGAAAGUCGAAGUUUUGGAGAUUUUGACCGGUAGUGAACUUUUGAUAUCGGGGUCGGAUACGGAUUCUAGAAGUUGGAGUAGGUCCGUAAGGUUGAUUAUGACUUGUGUGCAAAA